GUGGGCACUGCGGCGGCGACGGUGGCGACGGCCGCGGCCUUGGCUCCGGCCAUGGCAGCCUCUGCAGUUACCAAUCAACACAGGCGUGUUAGUUUGGGUCUAGUUCCAGGCUUUCAGUAGACAGGACUGCACAUAACUGCAAUGCACUCCUAGAAUAGAACGGCGAGAGCAUUGCCGGCACAGUGAACCGGCGGGGCAUCAUAUCGUUUUGGUUACCUCUGGAGCAGCGCUUGGCUGCGGCGAGCCUCUGGUCGAGGUAGGCGCCGGUCACCGUAGACAUCUUCGCCGGAGCAAAGCUUGGUGGCAGGAGACCCGAAGGAAGUGAACUACUCGUGACUUCUUAGGCCCUGUUUUGUUACAAAUAAGUCACCAACUUAUAAGUUAAAAAUGCAAAAAAUGACUUAUUUUGCCAAAAGGGCCUAACUUAUAAGUCACCCUAACUUAUAAGUCAUAAGUUGCGAUACCCUAGCUUAAAACUUAUAAGUCACUUACUUUUUGAUGGGUCCCACCACCUUUUCAGCCGUGCCCACCGCCCACCCGUGCCCACCGCCCCAUCCGCUCCCCACCGCGUAGCGCGCCUCGCCGCCGCUCCCACCGCGCAGCGCGCCUUGCCGCCGCCGAGCUCCAUCCCCACCCACUGCGCAGCGCGCCUCGCCCAUCCCUCCCCACCGCGCACCGCUGCUGCCCUCGCCGCCGCUGNNNNNNNNNNNNNNNNNNNNNNNNNNNNNNNNNNNNNNNNNNNNNNNNNNNNNNNNNNNNNNNNNNNNNNNNNNNNNNNNNNNNNNNNNNNNNNNNNNNNCCUAGUGUGCCUUUUCCUGUCAGCCUACCCUCAUACCGAGAUUCGGGAACACCAAUCGGCUUAAGGUCAGGAAGAAAGUCCACACAAAACUCAAUGACCUCCUCUGUUCCAUAGCCCUUGGAGAUGCUUCCUUCUGGCCUAGCACGGUUACGAACAUAUUUCUUUAAGACUCCCAUGAACCUCUCGAAGGGGAACAUAUUGUGUAGAAACACAGGACCGAGAAUUCUAAUCUCUUCGACUAGGUCAACUAGGAGGUGUGUCAUUAUAUUGAAGAAGGAUGGCGGGAACAACAACUCAAAGCUGACCAGACAUUGGACCACAUCAAUCUGUAACCCUGAUAGACUUUCUCGAUCGAUUACCUUCUGAGAAAUUGCAUUGAGAAAUGCACAUACCUUCACAAUUGCCAGGCGAACAUUUUCCGGUAGAAUUCCCCUCAAUGCAACCGGAAGCAAUUGCGUCAUAAGCACGUGGCAGUCAUGAGACUUUAGGUUUUGGAAUUUUUUGUCUUUCAUAUUUACGAUUCCCUUUAUAUUCGACGAGAAGCCAGUCGGGACCUUGAUACUGAAAAGGACUUCAAAGAAGAUUUCCUUCUCUUCCUUAGUAAGAACGUAGCUGGCACGCCCUUGAAACUGCCCUCGAUGCAUGCCAUCUCUUCCUUUAUGACGUUCCUGGUCCUCCCGUGCUUCCGGUGUAUCUUUUGACUUCCCAUACAAGCCCAGGAAGCCUAGAAUAUUCACGCAGAGAUUCUUCGUCAGGUGCAUCACGUCGAUUGCCGAGCGGACCUCAUGGACUUCCCAGUAGGGUAGCUCCCAAAAUAUAGAUUUCUUCUUCCACAUGGGUACGCGCUUAUCAGGGCCGUUAGGAACAGGUUGGCUGCCAGGACCCUUUCCAAAGAUUACUUUUAAAUCUUUGACCAUAUCAAAUACUUCAGCACCAGUACGGAUGACAGGCUUCCCCCGGGGUUCUGCCUUGCCAUUGAAAUGCUUGCCUUUUUUCUUGAAGGGAUGCUUGGGCGGAAGAAAACAACGAUUGUACGGAUACACAUUCUUCCUACAGUUGUCGAGAUAUAUACUUUCUGUCUGAUCCAAACAGUGCGUGCAUGCAUUGUAUCCCUUGUUUGACUGACCUGAAAUGUUACUAAGAGCAGGCCAAUCAUUGAUGGUUAUGAAAAGCAACGCUCGAAGGUCAAAUUCCUCUUGUUUGUGCUCGUCCCACACACGUACACCUGGUUCGGCCCACAUCUGUAAAAGUUCAUCAACUAAUGGCCUUAGGUACACAUUAAUAUCGUUGCCGGCUUGCUUUGGACCUUGUAUAAGCACUGGCAUCAUAAUGAACUUCCGCUUCACGCACAACCAAGGAGGAAGGUUGUAGAUACAUAGAGUAACGGGCCAGGUGCUGUGACUGCAACUCUGCUCCCCAAAAGGAUUCAUGCCAUCUGUACUCAAACCUAACCAUAAGUUCCUUGCGUCAGCUGCAAAUCUCGGGAACUCUCUCUCGAUUUUUCUCCACUGCCGACCAUCAGCGGUGUGCCUCAACUUAUCGUCUUUCAUACGAUCUUCCAUGUGCCAUCACAACAACUUCGCAUGGUCUUUAUUUCUGAACAGACAUUUCAACCGUGGUAUUAUAGGAGCAUACCACAUCACCUUGGCAGGAACCCUCUUCCUGGGUGGCUCGCCCUCAAUAUCACCAGGGUCAUCUUUUCUGAUCUUAUACCGCAAUGCAGUGCAUACCGGGCAUUUAUCCAUAUUCUCGUACUUCUCACCGCGGUAGAGGAUGCAGUCAUUAGGGCAUGCAUGUAUCUUCUGCACGUCUAAUCCUAGAGGGCAGACAAGCUUCUUUGCUUCGUACGUGCUGGCGGGCAAUUCGUUCUUUCUUGGAAGCAUCUUCUUCAUCAGUACCAGCAACUUUUCGAAUGACGAGUCAGUCACACCGGUCUCUGCCUUCCACUUCAGCAAUUCCAGUGUGCUACCCAGCUUCUUCUGGCCAUCUUCACAAGUUGGGUACAACAAUUUGUUGUGGUCCUGUAACAUCUGCUCGAACUGCAACCUCUCCUUUUCUGUGUCGCAACCUCGCCGUGCAUCAGAAAUGACCCGGCCAAGAUCAUCAGCGGGCUCAUCUGGUUCCGGUUCUUCAUCCUGAUCUUCUUCUUCAUUGUCUUCCAUUGCGGUAUCAGCAUACUCAAGGAACAUAGAUUGGUAGUUGUCAUCAUCAUUCUCUUCUUCUUCUUUGUCGUCUUCCAUCAUAACCCCUCUUUCUCCGUGCUUGGUCCAAACAUUAUAGCCCGACAUAAAACCGGACCGAAGCAGGUGGCUCUGAAUGACUCUUGAGGAAGUGUAAUCCUUCUCAUUCCGACAUUCAACACAUGGACAAAACAUAUAGCCACCACCAUGCUUGUUCGCAUCGGUUGCAUCUCGAAAAGAAUGCACACCUUCUCUGGAAGCGGUUGUGCGUCGAUCACCGUACAUCCAUGGAUGGCUCAUCUCUGCGUUAUACGACAGUAUAUCAAAUACAAUCACGAUCCUAGAAAUUAGUACCGCACGGUCUAAACGAGGAAAUAUAGUUGCUAACCUUUUAGAAUAAGUAGAAAUAAAGAGGAAGAGGUUUAAGCGUGGCUCGGGCAUCUCAUAUCGUAGUUGUGUUCGGUGAACUGAAGCGGCAUCGCUCUAACACACAUUUCAACAAACACCUCUAGUGCAUCAAAAAAAGUGGAGAGCAAGCACCCACCCACAAUCCUCCAUCCAAGAAAAAUGCAACGAAGAGGGGAGAGGGGGGGCUGUGCUAUAUAUAGGCAGAGGACUUUAGUCCCGGUUUGAGACACAAACCGGGACUAAAGGUGGCGCACAUGCGGGCUGCCCACCGCGUAGCCCUUUAGUCCCGGCUUGGGACACGAACCGGGACUAAAGGCUCCUUACGGGCCGGGACUAAAGCCUCGAGGGAGGAUAUGAGAAUUGGGGCGACGUGGCCGGGCCUUUAGUCCCGGCCCAGAGGCAGGCCGGGACUAAAGGGUCCAGGCCAAAGGCCCGUUUUCUACUAGUGAGACACAUAGAGUUCACCGAGAAAUCCAUGGUUAUGACCAAGAUGAUAAUUAAGUACUGUAUGUUUCCUAUUAGGAUUAGGCGUUUCUUCGAAACAUAUACUGACAGAUGUAUAGAGUUCACUCAUGAUAGAUUAAAAAUUUGAGGAUCAAGUACUCUUGCUUCAUUGAUCAUUACAAGUUGCAAGCUAGCUUUAGGAUUAGGCGUUCAUGCAGUGUUUAUCAAGAUUCAGGAUUAGGAAUUUUUUGUAUCUCGCAACUUUGUGUCGGGCAAAUUAACCUCACUCAUGUUGCUAUGAGAGAAAAACUUAGUUAUGUCAAUUUUGCAAGAUUAUGUGGCAUCUUGACAAGAUAAGUUAGAUUUGUAGUAUGUCUAUUUAAUUUUUUCUGCUGCAACAUAUGUUGUCGAAAUACUUUCAAUUAUCAAUUGAUUCAUGAUUCACUAUUAAAAAAAUCGGUUCCGAACUCGGCACCCGAGUGAAGCAAAAGGGAAAUUGCUAAGCAAACUAGUAGCUGCACCUUAAUCCAAACUCAGUGAGAAUUUUCAUAGUCCUGGAAAAAAGAGAAUUUUGAUUCAAAAAAGGCGGUGUUGCUUCUGCUGUGCAAAAGGGAAUUGCUAAGCAAACUAGCACCUUAUCCAAACUGAAUGAGAAUUUGAAGUUCAGAAAAGAUUGCUCCAUUUCUACUGUGCACCUGAUGUAAAUCGCUACCCUGCAGGACUGGUGACGAUGUGGCUCUCUCUAGGCGGGUAGCGGUGACAUUCCUUAUGAUGACAAUGGCAGACUUCAGCGACCAGCUCUUCGACUGGCAGGACCGCCAUCUUCGAGCCCGACGUCGGACGCGCCCGCGUCGCCGCUGUCGUCGAGGAUGAGGCUGAGCACCUCGUCCACCUCUUCUGCGUCCUCCCGCGCCAGCAGCUCGUCUUUACAAUCCUCCGCCACCCGGGGAAACCCAAGACCGUAUGCCUCUUGCUCCCCUCCGCAUCUCUCGAUCAUAGAUACACUUUCUUUAGUUUUGAACCCUGUUAGAUCUGUUGGAGGGGGGUAAUUGAUGUUAGCAUCAAUUUAGGAGCGAUCUGAUUCACUUAUUUUCCAGGAAUUGGAAUGCAUCCCCCUGUUUUCUGUAGCUGAUUCUCAUCUCAGGGAAUCUUUAUCGAAAAAAAAAAUCUCAGGGGAUGCGUUGUGUGCGCUCGAAAAAAAUAUCUCAGGGUACGCGUUGUGUGCGCUUGAAAAAAAAGGGCAAUGGUUGUCGCACACCAAAUGUUUGGUGUCAUGCCUAUGCGGGGCUUUGGCAGGAACCUGCGGGCUUUGUAUUUGCUCCAAGAGUGAUCAAUUGAUCCGAGAUGGGCAUAAGUUUAGCAGGUAUUUUUAGUUUGGGGAGGUGAUGUGUGAGUCAUGGCCUGCACUGCUCGCUGGUAUUUGGCUACCAGUGACUGAGCUACCAACAAGUUAUAUGACUGCUGAUAUCUGUACUUAUAUUGUCCUACAUGCAUAGAAUGAGUGGUCUCUGCAAUCUAGUAGCUUAUACUCCUACUAUUUAACUCUGAACAGAUGAUCUUACUAGCAACUGAUGGUGUAUGCUUCGGACAAGAAGCAUCCUGUUUAAUACUCCUAGCAUAGUUUACAGUCGCGUUAAGUGUAAGCGUUUUGUGUUAUGCCAAGGUUGAACUUUAUUCAUACCGUGUGAAACUGACGCUCACCAUGCGAACAGUUUCAGGAGAUCAAAAUAGAGCAGAAUGAUGCUUCAAUAACCAAGUUAUUCACAUGCCCUGUUUCCUAUGAACCACUGAUGAGGAAAGGGCAGUCAAAACCACUUUGCCAAAGUCCACUGAACAAUUAUUCAAUCCAUCAAGUUUAAACCACUUUGGGCAUUACAUGAGAAAUGAUGUUAUGUAUUUCUAUUUCUGUGAAUUAUUGACCGCUCAACGCAUUUGUUAAGUCAACCAUGAUAGUGUAGUGCUUAGUUAGUACUCUUUUCGAUGGCUUUGCACAGGAACAAGGCAUCGUGUGAUGACCUGUGUUCCUACCUUUUUGCCAUAUGGACUUAUUCAUCACAAUGACAUCGCCUUCUGAUACUUUUUAAAAUCUGUCUAAUUGUUGCAGGCCCUGACAACAUGGAGCACCUGAAGAGGAUCGCCGAGGAGAUGCAGAAGCAGGUGGCUGUUGCAGGCGCCAUCCAGCCCAAGGAGGAGAACGACUUGGAGUUUGGAUGUAUUAUGUAAACCUGAAAGAUGUAUUAUGUGAACCUGGGAGAUGUAUUAUGUGAACCUGGGAGACGUAUUGUGUUAUGUAAACUUGGGAGAUGUAUUAUGUGAUGUUAUAUGAUGGAUGAUUUUAAUUUGAGUUGGAGUAUUCUUGAUUUGAAUAUGAAAUAGUGUUGGAUUUAAUAUUGGACAAAUAAUUGGGUUGCAAAGGCCCAACAAAUAGAAAUGAAACCAAGUUCAGGAACAAAAAGUUGCUGAAUUCAAAAAUGAAAAAGGCCAAAACUGAAAUUGGACCAAAUGUAUUUGGAACUUAAAGUCCAGGGCCCAAAUUAUAAUGAUAAAAAAAAUUCGAAAAAAACAUACUAAAGUGGCUGUAAAUAGGCAAAGUCCCAAAAGAAGUCCAAUAAGAAAAAGCCCAAAAAAAUAAAAUCAGCCCAUGUGAUCAAUUGAAAUGGGUUGGGCUGAUUUCAACCAUGAUGUUUUGAUUUCGUCGUAAUUUUGCCACGUAGGACUGCCACGUAGGACUGGGUUUGAUUGCCAACGCCGAUUUAGGAUCGUCGUAAAGGUUACGACGAUAGAGGCAUCGUCGUAAAAGUUACGACGAUUUUGAUCAAAACGUCGAUGCUCUUCAUUUCUGACGCUCCGUUUUCGACGCUUGGUUUUUCGUCGUGAGAUCGUCGUAAAUUAAAAACCGUGACGAUGUAGCGACGAAAAAAUAGCGUCGUGUAUUAGCAUAUUCCUUGUAGUGGUGGGCACUGCUUCGGGGGAAACCCUAAGAUCUGACUUUCCAGAUCGGACGAUGGCGGUACUGCGGUGUCGUAUCUCUCUUGGGAGCAUCCUUUGUGGAGCAAGGCUAGAUGACAGAGGCAGGAGAUGGAGCGGCUUCGUCUGGCUCGAAGAUUUGUUGGAACUGUUAAGUCAUGCCUGGCCGACAGGUGCUACGCGGAGUCAUGCCUGGUUGGUAGGUGCUACGCACGACAGUUCUUCCAGAAUCUUCGUGUCUGGACGAAUGAGCCUAGGGCGGUGGCGCUGUUUGGCGCCGUGGUGGCGUCGAUCAUCUUGCACGGAGCUUUCAGUGAAGAUGUCAAGUCUUGCGUGGUCGACAGGUACUACGCUAUGUCAUGCCUGGUCGGCAGGUGCUACGCACGACAGAUCUUCCAGAAUCUUCGCGUCUGGACUGACAAGCCAUGGUGGCGUCGCGGAUGGAUGGACUGUCAAGGAUGAUACUGUUCUCUCUCCUGAAGAUGGGUCAGCGGCCUGAUGAUGAUGGCGGCAUCUAAAACAUGUGCAUGUGGUUUCCGCUUUAUGUCUGUUGCACCGGCUGUGGGUUCCGAUACGAUAUGUGGAUGGAUCAAUGACGGCACCGGUUUUAGAUAUGGGGAAUGAGAGCACUCCACAUUAUCGAGUUUCUUAGGUGUGAGUGGUAGCUUCGGAUGGUUUGAUGUAUGUUCUUGUUAGACCUAUGUUGAAUAAUUAAUAAAAAUGGCCGUAUGCAUCGAUUGAUGCAGAGGCAGGGGGUUUGAACCUGCUUUUCCGAAAAAAAACAUCCACAUGUCUCAUUCUGGCGUCCUAUAUCCAUACUACACAUGCAUGUCGAAAUAAUCUACGUGAUCGGAAAAUAAAAUCGAAAGGAAACGGACACAAGAUUUGCGGCAAACGGACAUCUAUCAAUACUCAAAAGAUCAUCGAGUUCGCAUGACAUAGUUUAUCAUCACCAAAAAACUAUAUUAACAAUGCUGGUCGUUUCCUAGUAAAUGAUAAAGGUGUUGCAUUUUUUGAGAAUCGUUUGGUUGUUCCCAAGAAGCAACAACUGUGAGAAUUGAUCCUUAAGGAAGCUCAUGAAUAUCCUCUCACGAUUCAUCCCGGUAGUACUAAGAUGUAUCAGGACCUACGCCAGAGGUUCUGGUGGACCCGAAUGAAGAGAGAAAUCGCUCAAUUUAUUGCUAACUGUGACGUUUGUCGUCGCGUUAAGGCAGAACAUCAAAGGCCUGCUGGCACUCUUCAGCCCUUGGCUAUUCCUAAGUGGAAAUGGGACAAGGUCGGUGUGGAUUUCAUCACCGGCUUUCCAAAGACUAAGAAAGGGAUUGAUGCCAUCUUCGUGGUCAUCGAUCGUCUUUCAAAAUUUGCUCAUUUCCUUCCAGUUCGAGAGAGUAUAACUGCUAGUCAGUUAGCAGACCUAUGUAUUUAUCGAAUAGUUUCUCUUCAUGGUGUUCCUCUGGAAAUCAAUUCAGACCAUGGAAGUCUUUUCACCUCUCUAUUUUAGGAAAGUUUCCAAAAUGCUAUGGGAACUCUUCUCUCCUUUAGCACUUCUUAUCACCCUCAGUCAAGUGGUCAAGUAGAAAGAGUCAAUCAAAUUCUCGAGGAUAUGCUCAGAGCGUGUGUUAUCUCAUUCGGAAUGAACUCGGAGAAAUGUAUUCCAUUCGCCGAGUUUGCUUAUAACAUCAUUUUCCAGUCUAGUCUGGGCAAAACUCCUUUCGAAGUUCUGUAUGGAAGAGGAUGUCGAAUGCCAUUAAACUAGUCAGAAACCGGUGAAAGACAAUACUUUGGACCGGAUAUGAUCCAGGAGGCAGAAGAGCAAGUUCGCAUCAUUCCUGAGAAUUUAAAAACCGCCUAAUCUCGUCAAAAGAGUCAAUAUGACCGUCGUCAUUACGAAGUAAGUUAUGAAGUUGACGAGAAGGCUUAACUUCGGGUUUCACCUCUCAAGGUUACCCAUCGUUUCGGUAUCAAAGGCAAAUUGGCUCCUCGUUACAUUGGUCCUUUUCGCAUUCUCGCUAAACGAGGAGAGGUUGCCUACCAAUUGGAACUACCUCCGCAACUUUCCAAAGUUCAUGAUGUGUUCCACUUUUCUCAACUCAGGUGUUACUUCAAGGAUCCUAUCCGCGAAGUGGACCACGAAACGCUUGAUCUCAAAGAUGACAUUUCAUAUCGAGAAUAUCCCGUUCGUAUUCUUGAUGAAAGCGAGCGAAGCACUCGACAUCGCAACAUCAAGUUUCUCAAGGUUCAGUGGUCUCAUCAUUCCGAGGAUGAAGCAACGUGGGAGCGCGAAGAUCGUCUUCGGCUUGAGUACCCCGAUCUCUUCCCGACUACGCCUGAAUCUCAGGACGAGAUUCUUGUUUAGUGGGGGUGAGUUGUCACAGUCCUAGUUUUACUUUACUUGCCAAGCUGAAUUCAAAUUGCAUUGAAUUUGAAAUGGGGAAGUGAUCAAGCCUCAGGAACCAAAUUUUGGGAAAUAAGCAAUAUAAAAAUUGCUAUAAAAUGAUCCAAGAAAAUGUUCCGAAUAUUUUAUUAAAAUAUUGGCAUGAUAUAAAAAUGUCAACUAAUAUUUUAGGUCACAGAAACAUUUUGUGUUGGACUUUUGAUUUAAUCAAGCAAAUAUUUGGAGUGGAAUUAUAUUAUCUCUAUAUAAAAUAUAGUUCCAUAAUUCCUGAAAAUAAAUGUGUGGCAUUAGAUAUUUAUAUUAUGCCACCUAAUAUAUUUUUCAGGGUUUUAUAAAAUGGCUAAAUAAUUUAUUUAAAGCCUAAACACAAACGGCAGAAACAGAAAAGAUACAAAAACUGAAAAGGGAGCAGAAGCUUACCUCGCGCCUAAGUGGCACGCCCAGCCCACUCCAGCCACCCCUGUCGUAUUCCUCCUCCUGCCAAUAGGCAAAGGAGAAGGCGAGCACGGCAGCCACCUCCUGCUUCGCCGUGGAGCUCCUCCUCGCCUCCACGACACCAGCACGACCCCCUCUCUCUUAUCUCCUCCCCCUCUCUUCAUUUUCCCCUUUCUCCCCUGCUCAUCCCUCUUUCUCUCCUCCGCCAUUGACGAGCUCGGGCUUGAGGUCACCGGCGCCCCUCCGGACACAGCAACACCACCCUGACCUGCUCCCUUCCCCGCAUCGACGAGCUGCUCCUCCCCGCCGAAGGAAUUGAGCCGAAGCCCGCUGUAUCGCCCUCGCCGCCGCCGUUCCCAACUCCGACCACCGGACCCCGCCGCCGUCGAUUCGGCCUGCCCCGAGCUCCCCUUCCGUCGGCGUUUCUCCCAUCAGUUCCGUGGUGAGCUGCGGAGCAUUUCGCCUCUAUUUCCCUCUUUUUCCCGCGCCCUGGCACCGCUCCCCAUCGAUGCCAAACUCGGGCCGCCGCGUGCCUCCACCGGCGCCCCCAUGACCAGCCGUUGCCCCUGCUAGAUCGGUCGCUUCGCCAGCUUCGCGUAGCCGCAAACCGCGCGGACAAUGGCCCCUUGGAGCGUGAUUGUAGCCAACUCCGUCGAGUCCUCCGCCGCGGUUUGGUCGCCGCCGGCCAGUUUCCGGCGAGCGCCGACGUGGCACGGCCAUUAGUGCCUAACUAGCACCCCACAGCCACUGACACAGGGCCCCACGCGUGGGUCACACCCCAAUUAGGGGCAGGUCAACUCGGGUUUAGCCCAGGGUCACUGACCAGUGGCCCCCACUGGUCAGGUUUGACCUGGCCCGGCUGGUUUGACCUGAUGACGUCAGUGCUGAUGCAGUAAUUCAUUUCAGAGUUUAAAAUAAAUCCAGAAAUUAGUAGAAACUUCAAAAAUUCAUAGAAAUUAAAUUAUAACUCGGAUGAAAAUAAUUUAUAUAUGAAAAAUUAUUAGAAAAAUGUAAGGAAUCCAAUGGUACCAUAUUCAUGCAUGUUUGAACAAUUUGAACUAGCUGAAUAGGACAAUUACAAAAUAGGCAUAUAAAUGCUUAUAUUUGGAGUUUAGAAUUGAUCUAUAUUGAUCAAACAAACCCCAAUUAACUUGUGAUCACUUGCAUUAGAUAAAACCAGCAUCAUUUUAACAUGCCAUGCUCAUGCAUCAUUGUGAAGCAUUUGUCGUGCUUAAUUUGUUCUUUGUUGAUCUUGUUGAUAGACCUUGCGAGAUGUAGUUAUCACCGACAUCGAAGAACAGCUGAGUUCUUCUGAUCAACAGGAAAGCAAACCCCUUAUGUAUUAGGACAUAAAGAUUCAACUACUACUUAUGUUAUGAUAGAUAACACAUUCCUUUGCAUGACAUGUCUUUGUCAAAGUAAAUAGCUAAACCAAGAAACCUAGCAUACCUGGUAGAUGCUUGAGCCAUGUUGUGCCAUUACCCUGAUAUGCUUGCUAUGCUUAGAGUUGAGUUGGUCUCAUCAUCUGGAUGAUGAAUUGGAAUGACCAUAUCCUACUGAUGAGAGUUAAGUAUGUGAAACCGUUUUGGUAAAGGUAGUGAUGAGAGUCCAUGUAGGAGUACAUGGCGGGUUGUCACAUUGAUACCGCACUUAGGACCUGAGAUCUUGUGUUGGUGUUCCAAGACUAGAUACUACCGCACAUUGGGUUCCGGUAACUCGACCCCUCUCGGCCUAUUAACUACUCUAUUCUCAGUCCAGGAGUCGCAGUAGUUCGAAACAUUCAUAGAUUAUGGCACGACCUGCUAAGUGGAUGAACGGCCCAAUCAUUACCGGCUUGGGGCCCUGCUCACAUCGUUUGAGGACAUGUUGGAAACCCCGGCCGGACUUCCAUCAUGGGUUCCAACUCAGAUAGGCGACUGCCUUGUGCGUGAGUCAUUGUGGGUUAACGUCCGUGGCUGACUCCCUCGCUGGACUUCCGCUUGAAGGUUGCUGAGGUGCUUGUUUUAUGUGCACAUGGCGAUAAUUGGCGGGAGCAUGUGUGACGAAGUACACCCCAGCAGGGUAAUUAUCCUUGGAUAUGGACUACUUGGAUACUUACAUGGUUCAUAGAUAACUUUAACGGGUACUUUAAAAUGGUCCAGAUAAGAGUGAGUGCUAUGGAUGGCCUUCUCAUAGGAUGACGAGAGAGGAUCCAUGGUGGUGUAUUGAUGUGGUGGAUAUGUGGACUCGUGUGCGCCCUCUCGUAGGGAGACAAGAGAGGUAUAAAACAUUGUUGUAGUUUAGGUUAGCCAAAGGUCAAAGCUGGCUUUUCUGCAGUAAACCCCACAACCCCGUUCAUUGAUGCAUGAUGCAUAUGUAGUUAACUCUGAUGUAAGUCUUGUUGAGUACCUUCAUACUCACUGUUCCUUAUUUUCAUUUUUGCACAGAUAGACGUUGUUCUCUCUACGUUUUCCUGUUGACGUUAACAUCGAUGGAUUAGCUUGGGAACCCAGAUAGUGGUCUGGCUCCUAUGGUAGGGUUGUUGUAGCUUUUCAGGCUCUUCCAGCCGCUUUUAAUAGAUGUCUAUACCCAGACAUGUAACUUCCGCUUGAUGCUUGUAUGCUCUGAAUGUUGGGUCAUGUGACCCCUCUGUUUGUAACAUUAUACUAUGUUGGCUCUUCGGAGCCUAUUAAAUAAUUGAUGAGUCGUAGAGUUAUGAUGUGAUGCUAUUGUUGUAUCUACACAUAUCAUGCAUAUUGUGUGUAUGUUUGAAAUGCAUUGGUAUGUGUGGGAUUCGACACCUAGUUGUGUGCCUUUAGUAGUAAUCUUUACAGCGAAAUGCCUCUUUGUGCUUCCACCGAGCCUUGGUAGCUUGCUACUUCUUCGGACACAUUGAUUGACCGGCGUGUAUCCUUCUUUGCUGUUGUAUCUGUCCCCUCGGGGAAAUGUCACGCGGUGUAAUGGAGUCCUUGUAGCUUGCUACGACUCGUCUACACACGCUGUUGACCGACACCUGCUUAGUUGGGUCAAGGUGAGCGGCCCCGACACCACCAUCGCCGUUCGGCGCCCCCGCCCCAGGCGGUUGCUUCCGCUGCUGGCCCCCGCCCUCACCCCCUCCAGCGCUAGUUGCCCCCGUCAUCGCCUCCGCCGUCUCACUUGUCGUGGAAGACCUAGAAAUUUUGGCUAAGUGUUGGCUCUGUCCUAUCCUCGGAAUAGGUCCCACUUGUCAAUGACUUAGAUUUGGCAAGAGACAACCGCAGUUUUAUAUAAUAUACAGUCAUUUCGGUAGAUGGGCAGCAAUCCCUCUCUAGCCCAGUGGUAGUCAACAAGCAGCCACAACCCAGUGGUCGUGGGUUCGAGUCCACGCUCGGGUAAAAAAAAUUACCCAACGAAUUUUGCGCUCGCGUGUGCUUCUGCUGUCAAAUGGGUCCCACCUGUCAGUGUGUGAUCUUUGUUUAACAAGAAGUAAGCAAAAAUGACAGGUAAACUGAGGUUGUUGCCUAACCAUCCUAAUGCAUUCGAACUAAUUAGUAACAAGAGGUGGCCGGUGCUGUCCGCUUUACGACAAUUUCUAGUAAGGAAGUUAUGACAUUUCUGAUGAAAAUGGUCGUUAGUUUUUAGGGUUAGGACCCCUCCGGACAUCUUACAACCAAUUGGUCUCAAAUGGUCGUAGAUUUACGACCAUUUCUACUUGCGUCAUUGCUAGAAGGUCGCUAGUUGACAUAUUUCUUCUAGUGGAUUACCAUAAUGCUCGUCAUAUACAAGGAUUAAUCCUGCAAUGACGAAUCAUGUGAUCAUCCAAAUGACGGAAUUUGAGAUGAAGAAUUUGGGUAAAACCUCUCGCACAUUCACUCAUACAUUAUGGUACACAUGUCGUCAUUAUCUAGAUUAUACUAGACAAAAUAGAUUGUGGGGAUGUCUUACCCAUCCAUAAUUUCCAUGGUUAUUCGUUCUCUAGACGUAGAGAAAAUUUCAUUUAGACUGCGAGGAGAUGGAAACAAGAUUUUAGGACCUAAAGUUCCAUAUCCUAGUGCCAUUGGACCCACCAAACAUAAUUGGUUGGGACUCAAGAAUAUAUUUUCAUAUCUCCAAGGCAUCAAACAUCUUGUCCUAAUCUUUCAGUUUUAGAGAAAUCUGGACACCCGAUAUUAUUGGAUACGUUGAUUAGAUCCCUACCAUGUUAGAUCGUAGACAAGCUAUGUGUUCCUACUAGGUGUCGUAGCCAUCCCAUGAAAGUCUUCAAAACAAAUCUUAUUAGCUACAUCCACCAACCAUUAUCUCAAAGAUAAUGUUGCUUGUGUUCCCCGGAUGCAAACAUGUUACAUAAUAAGCAAUAUCUCUAUAUUUCAUAUAUUGCAAUUCAAAUCAUGUGGCUGAUUUGUUCACCAAGUCUCUACCAACUUCUACAUUCUAGAAAUAUGUUCACUGAAUUGGUAUGUGACGGCUUCGGAAUUUGCAAGAAUUAGGGGAGUAUCUUCCUGAAUUUUUCAUGUUCAGAGCAUCAUAUUAUAAUAUUUUUCCCUGCAUGAGUUUACUGUACAUGUUCUCAUAAAGAUUUUUCAUGAGGUAAUAUCAACAUGAAAUCAUAUGUCAUAUUUUUUGUUUUCCCCAACUGGGGUUUUUAGGGAUGUAUACACAACAUAUUUAUUGUCCUCUAAACUGUAUGGAUUUUAUAAUAUUGAGUUAAAGAGACAAUUAUUAUGAUAUGUCAUAUUAUUUUCUCCUUAUAUUUUUCCCACUGCAUUUUAAAGGAGUUUCCAAUGGCAUAUCAGAUCACACUCUUUUCCCUUAUGUGAUUUCUCUUGAAGUUUCUCAUAAAAGGUUUUAACAAGGCAACAUAUGCAAUAAUUUCUAUUUUUCUCACUUGGGUUUUUUUAAACGAAAGUAUACAAUGAACAUUUAUUGGUCUCCAAACUCACAAAUAAGUUUUCUCCUUGUUCAAAGGUUUUCCUCAUAUGUGUUAUCAAGGAGAUACUAAUCAUAAUAUGUUGCAUCAUAUUCUCCUUAUUUUUUACCCAUCAGGUUUAAAGAAAUUUUAGCAACAUAUCAGCACCAUUCUCCUCAUAUUUUUUCCAUAAGGUUUUUGGGAAGACUCAAGAUUGUACAAAGGAUUUAUCAAGAUGGAAGAUGAAUAUACAAGACACCUUCAGUGAUGUUCAAGAAGCCUUUAGUGGUGAUCAGGAAGCGGUGUUGUAUAAGGGGGUGUUAGGAAUAAAUUAUCACAUGUCUAUUUUUAAUUAGCACAUGCUAAUUAAUGGAUCAUCAUUAGCGAAAGGUGUGUCCAACCCCGAAGAGUUAUGUCCCUUCUCUCUCUUUAUUGUCAAUAGGCAUCUGUUUUGGACGGAUGUCUCCGAACAAACACCCUUUAUUUUCAUCUUUUCGAGAUGUAUAUAUACUUGAGUAUCAAUAAAAACAAAGACUUAUCGUUCAUUUACUUUCAAUCAAUCUUGUUCUACUUUAACACAACUCACUAGCAAUUUUGUGUGUCGGGCCACUUCGAUCUUGCGGUAUACCCCAGCUGUCCUGGUAUGUGGGGCAUGCUAUGGUUGUUUAAAAAUAUUAAAAUUAUAAAAUGCUUUCUAGUAUGACUUGGUUUUAUUAAGCACGCAAACAUAAUAAAUUUGAAUCGACGUUCUUGUACCACCGAAAGUUCACACCAAUCAGCGAACUACGCAUUUCCAUUAAAGUUGUAGAGGGUGCUGCAGUAGUAAAUAUGUAGAGGGGAGGAGACGCAUCAAGACAAGAGGGCAGUGUGGUGCACUAAUCCUACUACGUAGUCCCUGUUGGUUGGUAAAUGAGAUGGUCAGGUCUGUUGCAAUUCUUUACGUCGUCUCUGUUGGUUGGUGUAUUCUCCUGUGUGUGGCAUGGUGUUUGUGAUUAGAGAGUUCCCAUGAUUAUCUGUCGCUCUGUUACGACUUGGCAUAAUACUCCUACAUGCACACAAAGACGUGUCGGUUGCAGCUAGCCAUCGGGACUGACAUGCCGUCCUACCGAAUGUUUAAGGAGGUCGACAGUAGUUUGGUGCAGCUAGUCAACGGGACUGACAUGUUAAGCAGCGCGUGUAUGCGUCUCGCUUCGGCCGAAAUCACUGUUUUAACAUUUUUAUUAAUCUUUGUCACAAACUGAACUCAACAUAAAAGUGUUUUAUGAUCUAAUCUUUUUGAUAACAUCAUAGUCAAUCCAACAUAGAAACGCCAAGCUAGAUAGCGUUUCUGCCCUUGUCCACUGUCAGGCCGACCAUGCGUAUGUGACAAGCCAGAAACGUCGAGCUAGACCCCGUUUCUAUAUAGGGCGGCAACGUCAAAGGCCUUGCGUUUCAAAACAACAUAGAAACGUCAAGGCUUUUGGCGUUGCUGCCCUACAUAGAAACGCCAGGGUCAGUGACGUUUCCAGAAACGAGAUCUAGCUCGGCGUUUCUAACCUGUUACCUACGCGUACUCGUCAUGGCAGUGGACCAGAGCAAAAAUGCUAUCUAGCUCGGAUUUCUAUGUCGGGCAGUAACGUCACGGGCUAUGAUGUUGCCAAAAAGAUCAGAACGUGAAAUACUUUUAUAUCAAGUUCAGAUUGUGACAAAAAUCGCUGAGAAGGUUAGAAUAGCGAUUUUGUCUGCCUUUGUGGGCCAUCUCCUAGUGUCGUGGGAAUGACCCUAACAAUAGUACCUAAGGGUAUGAAUGAAGGGGCAAAGUCUAACUAGACGCAGUGGAUGCACUCGGAUGUACGAGUUUAGACCCCACUCGAAAGUGGUAACAGCCAUACGUCUCGAGCCCUGAGGCUGGUAUUUUCUUAUGGGGUGUAAAAGAUUACAAAGUGUUGAACCCUUGAGCUAGAGCCAGAAGUGGCUUAUAUAGUGCAUACCAUGACCGGCCGAGCUUCAUUACAAGGCAAUUAAUGCAAAUAAACGAAAAAGUUACUAGAAACGACAGCUUUAAUUAUCGGCGUUACUAGUAACGUGAGUCUUCACUGCUCUUCAUGCGAUGGGUUAAGUCCUUAGCCGUUUGCAGCCUCUUCGGUGCCUUUUCCUCGCUGAGGUCCGAGUGUCAAGAUGUAUCCGACUCGCACGAGAGGAUCCGAGUGACUCCAGGCAGACCGAGUGACGGUUGCUGAACCGAGUGAGGUCGAGGCAGCCUUGGUGACUUUAAGGAUACUAAUGUCCGUAAGGGUCCUAGGUAGGCCCAAAGAGGCAGGUCCGUAGGCCUACCCCUAAUGUACAACACGAGCAGUAGCCCCCGAAUCAAUUGAGGUUUUGCAGAUCGACUGAAUGACUUCCUUCAAUGUCUCCGACGCUUUGAAGAUUCUUGGGAUGUAGCUCGGGGCUGCGUCAUUCGGACCCUCGGCAAACCUCCACGGAUUUAAGAGUGACCAAUUUCGACUGUCCAGCCAUACAGGUACUUCAGCAGUCGGCAGUGACAGAUUAUCUUUUGGAAAGAUAGAUCCCAUGAGUUCGAUGGACGAGAGCUUUGUACUCCGCGUGCUCAAUCGGUGAGUUGGGACAGAUCUUAACUCGUGUCGAGGUAAGGACGAUCAGGUCGUCGUCAUCAAUUUCCGGACUGAUCGGGAUUCCGUAGGGGAUCGUGCGAAAAGAUCAUUCGGCAUGCUUUGUCAUACGACGUGUACACGGGAUCCAUUCGGGAUACAAGGUGGGACAGAUUUUUCGUAACUUUUGAAAUUGAGGGAGCACGCCCGCGGUCGACGGUUACGCGGAGACGCGGGUAGUGGAAAUAGUGAGAGAAAAGAUUAAUCGUAUGAGCUAAUGUAUCAUGAUCGUCAUUACGUGCAUUUCGGAACAGAACAGGGGAGGAGCUGGGGAUCAAAAGAGUGAACUAGUACUACAGUGUUAUCUCGGCAUUUUGCAAUGCUCUGACGCAUGUCAACUAGUAAGCGCCAUAAGGAAAAGACGAGUCAUGGCACAUGAACCAGGGUCGUACAAAAUUAAAAACUAGCUGUUAUUAACUCAAGAUCUCUGGAAAGGUACUAAGAUGGAGAAGUUGGCAACAUUAUUUCAUUUCAUACAUGAUAAGAUAAUUAGUGCUUGCUCGCAGUAAACAUCGCACUGCAAGCAUGGCCUCGCCUGAUCGCCCCAAUUUCAGCAGACAAGUUCGGGGAGGCGUAUAGAACUUGCUGCGCAUUAUUUGAUCUACAGCCUAAUUAGUGGAAGGAGGUGUUCUUGAGGUGUGGCGGGGCGUUGUCAAAGGAGUGCUUCCUGGCCAUGGAGACGAUUGUCUUGUCGGCGACGAUGAAAUAGGCCAUCCCGGCGACGGUGGAGAUGAUGAGCGCCUGCCCGGCCGGGUUCAGGUGCGCCUUUGCCCACGGCAGCAUCCUCACGCUCGCCAGCUGAAAUUACAGGUAAGAGGUAACACAUUCGUGCUCCGCAGGGAUAUCUCGAAGAAGGCAAGAACUAAAUGGCUAGCUACUAACCGUGGGGACUGCGGCUGCGACGGUGGCGACGGCCGCGGCCUUGGCUCCCGCCAUGGCAGCCUCUGCAACACCGACAGGUUAAUGACAAUCAAGUUUCAGUGGACAGAUACAUUACAGAAGCUGCAAUUAAUGCACGACGGAAUGGUAUCUAUACGAGCAUUGCUGGUUACCUCUGGAGCAACGCUUGGCUGCAGCGAGCCUCUGGUCCAGGUAGGCGCGGGUCACCGUAGACAUUUUCGUGGGAGUGGCAGCUUGGUGGCACGAGACCGGAAGGAAGUGAACUAGAAGUAGAGCAGCAGCAGUGUGCUUUUUAUGUGACCGUCUGAGAGUGAGAUGAGAUGGAUAGGAGGUGUGCUCCGAUUCGGCCGAGUUUAUGUAGGCUGCAGGAAACCGGCAACCAGCGUGCGCACAAGAAGACGAUAGAUACAGUGGGAAGCGAGACCGUGGUUUUGGCACUUUGGCAGGCGAGCUAGCAAUACCGGCGGCGUGCUGGGUGGUCGGCGCUGCGGCAGAACACAGGUGGCGCUGCCUCGUUGGUCAUUUAAAAACCAUCUCACGUGCGCCGCACUCUUCUGCAACUGGAUAACAGCAGGCAAUGCAUCAAUCCAUCGGGGUUGGCAGGGAAUCAUAGGAUAACAAAUAUAGGAGCAUGUGCAUGAGUGGGGUGUCAAUUAAAGCAUCACUUGUAGUGUUCUUAAAUCUUCAAAUCCUUAAAAUAAAUCAUUUUUUACGGAUUGAAACGAAAAAAAGCAAAGAAUAGAACCCCUAAACCCUUAAAAAAAAAUAAGGAUUGAACCCGGGUUGCCCUCUCAAUCUCUAAAAGUGAGGAUUGAAGAGGGGAACCCAUCCCUAGCCCGCACUCCUACCGGUCGACGCGCGGGAGGGAAAUUUCCCCGCCUCCCGCCUCCCGCCACCCGCCUCCUCGCUGCCGUCGGCCGCNNNNNNNNNNNNNNNNNNNNNNNNNNNNNNNNNNNNNNNNNNNNNNNNNNNNNNNNNNNNNNNNNNNNNNNNNNNNNNNNNNNNNNNNNNNNNNNNNNNNCCCCAGCCCGCCCCAGCCGCCGCCUCCGUCGUCCCGCCCGCCACGUCCCUCACCCCGCCCGCCUCCUCCCUCGCCCCGCCGAAGCCGCCCGCCACCAAGGGUCGGAAGAAGAAGCCCUCCCUUGGGCCGAAGGGGGCGGCGGGGCCGAAGGUGAAGAAGACCAUCUCCCGGAAGAAGCCGGCUCCUGUGCCCGCCCCGGCCGUCGCCCCUCCGCCCGUCGUGCACGAGGUGAAUGCCCGCCCCGCUGACAUCAUUCAUGGGGCUUCUCGAAGACGCGGAGGUGGACAUCGGGGCUCCUCCUCUCGAACCCUUUGGGUUUAGUGAUGACUUGGAGGAAGAGGGUGAUGAGGAGGAGGAAGGGGAAGAUGAGGAGGAGGUGACCGAGAUAGAGGAGGAGGCGUUCUCCACCGUUGGAAAACACACCGUGCGCUCGACAAACUAUAGCGAGGACGAAGAUAUUCUCUUGGUUCGUGCUUGGGCACAUGUGGGAAUGGAUGCAAGCACCGGUGCCGAUCAAACCGAUAAACUCUAUUGGCAAUGCAUAGAGGACCUCUAUUGCAAGAUUAAGCCGAAGACCGGUGGGUACGACGCUCGUAGUUACCUGUCGCUACAAGGCCGGUGGGAGUUGAUGAAGCCCCAUUGUGCUCGUUGGAGUGCGGCAAUGGACCAAGUGAAGGAUGCACCGCCUAGUGGGACCGUGGAGAGUGACUAUGUAAGUACAUAUGUGUUUUUCACAUUUAUUUUGAUUUUCUAUGCUAUUGUUAUGUAUGUUUACUAUGCUAUUGGUGGGUUUGUAGGAGGCAAUUGCCGACUUGAGGUACAAGGAGAUGGCCGCUUCCAAGGGCAAAGCAUUUCCAUUUAAGCAUGUUUGGAAAAUUCUUUAAACUUAUGACAAGUGGAAGUUGAGGGAUCAAGAGACCGCACCCAAGAAGUCGACAAUGCUUAGGAUGGAUGAUAGUGAUGAGGAGGAAAGGAACGAGUGCAAGCCCGAGGGAACCAAGAAGGAUAAGCUAAGCAAGAAGAUGGAAGGAGAGGCGUCAAGCAUAAGGGAGAAGAUGGAACAUAUGAUGAAGUCAAGGAAGGCAUUGAUAAUGAAGACAUUGGAGACAAAGCUCCUUAUCAACGAGAAUAAGAAAGAGGUGAAGCUUGCACAAGUUGAAGCAAGGCGUGAAGAAGCCAAGCGCAAGGCCGACCUGGAGGAGAGGAUGAUCAAGGUCAAAGAAGCAAAGGCAUGGAAAGAACUCAUGGUGGAAGAGAAGGAGCACAUAAUGAUGUCCAAUAAGGACAUUGAUGAAGACCAAUUGAUGUGGUGGAAGGAGUACAAGGAGGACAUCGCGGAGAGGAAGAGGAUAUUCUGUGGUGCGUCCUCUACUCUUCGAGGUGAUACUCCGAUGAGUGGUGGUGGCGAUGGCAGUGUGGAGGACUCCACCACCGGCGAAAAUGGAGGUGCUUGAUGGACGUGGAAGUGGUCUAGGAGAUGGCGCUGAGGUGCAACUUUUUGGUGAUGGUGCCGAUGAGAGGGGGAAGAUGAUGAUUUUAUGAUGUAAACUAUUAAACCAUGCAUCAAUGAUUUUCAUUUCCUAGUUUGUUUCAAGGUUGAUUGUGUUUUUCUAGUGAUAAUUGUGAUAUGUCAAAUGACAGAUUUAAGGGUUGGGGUUGCGGCAAAGACUAAACCCUCAAAUUCAACCCUUAUAACGGAGUAUUCUGUUAUAAGGGUUGGGUUUGAGGGUUCUAGUCUUUGCCCCUGUUUUUCAAUCCUUAAAAGUGCCAAAAAAUGCCAAUUCUCAACCCUUCAACUGGUAUGAGGGUUUGAGGGUACUACUAGAGAUGCUCUUAGCGUGCACACCAUCUCACUUCAGAUUUGUCUGUGUGUGUGGGAGUUUUCGUCCUACCCAACCCGGUUAGACGCGUCGGAAAUCAGCCCAAUUUGACUAGUGGUUGAGUGCUAAAUUUUUGUUUGUUGAGAGAGAGAAUAUCACAUGAAACCUAAGUUUUGAUAAAAAUCACCCAGAAUAGAUAUUAUUUUGAUGUUCCGAAAUCUCCAUUAGAUGUUGAUUUUGUUUCUUCAGCUCGUCCUUAGGGCGUCUCCAAAGCUGACCCGCCAAUAGUUUCGAUAUAUAUCCGUUUUUAUGUCCGGACGUAGUCCGUGGACGGUUGUCGAGGACAGGUAGACUUCGUUGACUAUAGCAUUUACUGUAGCUACAAUUGUACAGUAUACGAAGGAGAUGUGCCUAAGCCCUAGGCCGUCGCUCCUUCUAUCUGGGGCGUGAAUCCGUCCAUGUCGGUGGAUAUAAUCAGGAGUCGGCCAUUCAAUUGUAGGUGCAAACAUCCGCCUCUAUUAAUGAUUUUCAAGAAAUCAACUCAGCCAAAUUAACCUUCCACAAAUAGAAAAUCUACCUUCCGUUGAAUAGAAAUCAACCUUCACUUAUUUGAAUCAAUCUUCCACCAUUUGACGUAUACUUAUAAAGAAAUAUUUACUCUCGUAAUUUUAGGUGCGACAAUGAGAAUUGUCUAAAAAAAUAGAUGGAAUUGGACCUAGAAAAACCAUUCAGCUUCAUUAUGGAUUAGGUAUGACUGGGUGAAAAUCCUUUUGAAGGAAGCUAUUCAAGAACGGAUGGAACGGCUUUCCCUUCAAUAACAAAUAAAUUUUACAUAUGGGAAUUGGUUGAAGUCGAGGGAUUAGCUUAUAUAGAUAGACGCGGCGGGGGCACGGUGUUUAUCCGGUCUCGUGUUAGAUCCUAUGAUUUGGUUAGUUAGCCUAUGAGAACAAGUCACAAGUUAUUUCCUCUUUCAAUCAAAUGAGGUACUUCCUCGGUUUAGAAGGCACGUUUGGAAAAUCUCUCGGAUCAAGGUAGUCAACGAUUGGUUGUGAGAUGUAGUAGGUGUAUAUGCUAAUGCGCCUAAUCAACUGGAAAAAAUAAGAGUACUAAUGCUUGAGCAGCAAAUUAGGAGGGCGCAUGCAUGAGUAGUGCUAGUACUAAUUAAUAAGAGUAAUUGCUUUCCCGCCUUAAACCUUGUCUAUUUUGAAAACGCACGCAAGUUUAACCGUGCCUUCUAAACCGUGACGGAGAGAGUAAUUAACGUGAAGUAACAGGGUAAUAAAUCUACAUUUUUAAUACAAACUAUUAAUAAACUAGUAGGAAGAAAUAUGUGUUUUUAAUGUGGAGUAAUCAAUAGACGGUCCUAAGCUGCUCUCGCCCCAACCCGGACAUGGGUACACGGCGGCUUUUGAUUGGCCAAGCGCCGGACUCCUGUAAGGCCUCACCUUAUCGACGAUUGGUCUAUCUCUGUCUACCUCAAGUGUUGCUUUGUUGCUUAUCCUUUGUGUGCUUGCUACUUAUCUUCAGCAUUUGUGUAUCUAGCCUUAGGUUGUCUGAGGUGGUGUUUGUAAUCGUAUGAUUGUAUGUGAUCGUUGUUUUAUAUAUAAAACGGAACGCGAGCCUAUUUCGUCGUAAGCUGCAAUGCACAACAGAAUGGUAUAUACGAGCACUGUUGGGCUGAGGCAGGGACCGGCUCCCUCGUUGGUUACCUAUGCGGCACCGCUUGGCGGCGGCAAGGUAGGCACGGGUCAUCGUAGACAUGUCGAGAGCAGAGUUUGGUAAAGGAUCAGUAGGUUUACUAGCGUGAGUGAGACCAAGAUGAGAUGGGCAGAGCAAGAGGUGAUUCUUUUCAGCGAGAGGAGGCAUCGAUCCAUUUUGUAGGAGCAUGUGCGUGAGUGCAGUGUCAGUCAGUGUGCACUCCGUUUUGUUGGCCAUGUGAUGUGCCUGUCCUGGCGCUCCCAGUUUUCGCCCUAGCUAGCUCGGCAAUCCCGUCAGCGGUUCGGUGCAAAACCUUUGCUUGUUUAGCUGGCGUUAUUCCCGGGAGUGCAUGAUAGUUACCGGAGUAGUUGAUUUCCAUUUUCUUAUGAUGACGCUAAAAACACUUGCCAUCUUUGUUAAUUUAGAAGAAAAAAAUUAUCCUGUUAAUUUAGAAAAACCAGAUGAAAACUGUAGCAACACGCCCAACCAGACUAUCAUAGUCAAACAUAUGACAAUAGAUAUGUCAGAGGCCGAUCUUGCUACCAACGUAGACUCCAUACUUAACGGAGAAGACAACUUCCGCAAUGGCUGCAUAGAAACGUCACUCAUCGCCCUCAAUCUAUUUUUUAUUUUUUUGGAAAAGGAGGUUUAACCCCGGUCUCUGUAUCAAUCGAUGCAUACGACCAUCUUUAUUAAUUAUUUAAUAUAGGUCUAAUAAAAACAUACGUCAAACCAUCCGAAAUCAUCACUCACACCUACAAAACUCGAUAAUGUGUAGUGCUCUCACUCCCCAUAUCUAAAACCGGUGCCCUCAUCGAUCCAUCCACAUAACGUAUCGGAACUCACAGCCGGUGCAACACACCUAAAGCGUACACCACAUGUACACGUUUUAGACGCCGUCAUCAUCAUCAGGCGCUGACCCAUCUUUUGUAAAAAGAUGUGUAUCAUCCUUGCCAGUCCGUCCAUCCGUAGACGCCACCACGGCUCGUCAGUCCAGACGCGAAGAUUCUGGAAGAUCUGUCGUGCGUAGCACCUGCCGACCAGGCAUGACACAACGUAGCACGUGUCGGCCAGGCAUGACUUGACAUCUCCACCGAAAGCUUUGUGCAAGAUGAUCGGCGCCACCAUGGCGCCAAACAGCGCCACCGCCCUGCGCUCAUUCGUCGAAACACAAAGAUUCUGGAAGAACUGUCGUUCGUAGCACCUACCAACCAGUCAUGACUCAGCGUAGCACCUGUCGGCCAGGCAUGACAUGACAGUUCCACCAAAUCUUCGGGCCACACAAAGCUGCUCCAUCUCCUGCCUCUGUCAUCCAGCGCUGCUCCACAAACAAUGCUCCCAAGAGAGAAACGGCACCGCAGUACCGCCAUCGUACGAUCUGAAAAGUCAGAUCUUAGGGUUUCCUCCGAAGCAGUGCCCACCACCAGCAACCGCCCAGGACCCACAUAGUGCCCGCCACAACUCAGCCCUCAAGGCGACGCCUUCAGGAAGGUCACGACGUCAAGGACGCCGCCGCCUUCCACCGGAGUUAGGGUUUUCACCCGAGAGGCAGUGAGGUAGGAAGUGGAGGAGCAGACCUAGACCGACGUCUCCAGGAAGAACAACGGCGCUCUUGAGCGUCGUCGGCGGCGCGGCCGGCCAGGGCCGACCAAUGGGUUCCCCCGUACCUGAAUCUUCUCCACCAGCUUCAUCCGCGGCCACGCCGGCAACGCCAGAAAACCGCAGGAGAGAAGCACACCGCGGGUAUUUGGAUCAAUGAAGAUUCAAUCUAAACAGUGACGAGUACCACCACCCUGCGCUGGCCGACGGCGUCCGGGCGCCGGAUCCAGAAGGAUCUGACCCCUCGCCCUCGAUCUAAUGACUCCGACUCCAACAAAAAUGGCCAUAAACAAACUAACCGGUACAAGUUGAUGCAUGGAACCAAAAUUCACUAUGCUUAGAAGACAUCAUCAGCCAUGGAUGCACACAGGCGUCAUCAGAGGCGACUAAAUAAAAUGAUGCUGCUUGUAGUACCCACACCAGACCGAAUAAAAAUGAAACCGUUUGUAGAGAGACAUUUUACUAGCAUCCACACACUCUGCGAAGAUAGCUGCCUCCGAAUCCCACCAUGUGAUAGUCUAGUUCCGCUUUGAGGCGAUUGACACCAAGAGAAUUAGCGAUAACUGGCGACCGGUGGUUUCUCCAGGCGGCUCAACUCUAAUCUUGUUCAGUAGUAGUGGGUGUUUUGUGUUAGGGCUGGUGUCUCCUGGUUUCAUGCUCAAUGUUGACUUAGAGACAAUUUUUUUGGCCUUUUUAGACUUCUAAAAUAAGCUGCCUUCUAUCCAUUUUAUUCUAAAAGCCUAAUUCAAUUUCUUUUUAAAAACAUAUUAGACAAUUUAAUUAUUAGCUUUCUAAGAAAAUUAAUUUGGUUGGACUUCUGAAAUAAGCAAGAAUAGGAGGCAACCUAUUCCAUCUUAUUCUAGAAGCCGGCAAAAAAUAAACUGGCCUUCAGUUAUUCUUGUGCCAACAAACCAGUACCGUUUUAUUUUACUUUUAGUUUGUUUGCAUGAGGGUUGUCUCAUCAUAUUAUAUCGGUUCGACCGAUUGUGGCUUUAUUCGAAAAGGGGGCGAAAGACUCUUUUGAAAAAGGUUUAAUCGUGUGAGGUGAGGUGUCAUGAUCCUCACGUGCAUUUCGGAACAGAACAGGGGAGGAGCAGGGGAUCAAAAGAUUUAACUAGUACCACGGUGUUAUCUCGGCAUUUUGCAAUGCUCUGACGCAUGUCAACUGGUAAUCAUCAUAAGGAAAACACGAGCCAUGGCACAUGAACCAGGGUCGUACAAAAUUAAAACUAGUUGUUAUUAACUCAAGAUAUAUGGAAUGAUACUAAGAUGGAGAAGGUGGCAACAUUAUUUCAUUUCAUCCAUAAUCACACAAGUGCUUGCUUGAUGGCCCCUCUACUACUACUAGCUCAAGGUCUGAAGAAUGAUCGCGGACGGGGACGAGCCGGAGCCGCGGCGGCGCCACCGAAGGAGGUGUCUUUGAGGUGGUCAGGGGCGCUCUCGUAGGAGUGCCUCCUCGCCAGCGAGAGGAUGGUCUUGUCGGCGGCGACGAAGUAUGCCAUCCCGGCGACGGUGCAGACGAUGAGCGCCUGGCCGGUGGGGUUGAGGUUCGCCUUGGCCCACGGCAGCAUCCUCACGCUCGCCAGCUGCGUGAUUAAUAGUAGUUCAGUUAUGGAAACCACAGUCCAACGUGCAUGGAAAUCAACAACAAUUCCUGGACGGAGGAGCUCACCGUGGGGACUGCCGACGCGACCGUGGCGACGGCCGCAGCCUUUGCUCCGGCGAACGUUGCCUCUAGGAAAGAUUAAAAGAAAAAAAAGAAUGAACCGCUAGUAUCAGACUAUCAGCACACAACUGAGCUCUGAAGAAGUGCAUCCUGGUCAGUGGUUACUACCUCUGGAGCAGCGUUUGGCGAGGGCGAGCUUGUGGUCGAGGGACGCGCGGGUGACGGUGGCCGCCGACGACGACAUCUUCACCGUGAUAUUGUACAGAAACGGCUGAGUGCGAUCGAGUGAGAUGGUGUGGGCUGGCUGGUUCGUUGUUGCUCGAUGCAUCCAGACGAGGAGCUAGCCGUGUAUUUAUAGCGAGCAAAAAGGUUGCCGCCAUGCACGGUUUUGGGUGCAAACCGUGGGUACUCUGCUAUGAUCCGCUCAUUUGGACUUUAGAGUACACAACUGAGUUGGUGGGCGGAGCACCGCACGCUAUCUAAAAACUAUGGCAGCAAUCCACAGGAUUUGAUGAUGCUUGUUUGUUAGAGGUAUAUAUCCUCCAUGGCUCAAUCGCCUUUCUUUCUUUACCCACCAAAGCUGGUGAAAAAAGAGAGAUCUAAAGUUAGGCACAACAGUGCUGAUCUGAGCACAAUACUACGUAGAUAAUUGCUACCGGACGCAUUUGUUCUUUGUAAGAUAAGAUAACAAAUAUGAAACGGAGCAGGUGCCUCCGGGUCCACUCGUCAUCGUCGGUCCGUCGGUCGGCGAGCGGCGCUCCCAGUUUUCCGGCGAAACCGGCGGCAUGUGCUCCCCGGCCGGACUAGCUCUUCAUGCGUGAGCUGCUUUGGCAUUUCUCCACAUUUUUCUCCAGUCUGCGGCCCACCCAUAUUGCAUACAACAUUUAUUCUUCAGGUUCGUUGCACAAGAUACAGUCUGUUGGUGUAACCUGUUGUUGCUGCAAUCUCCAAUUCAUUGUUUUUUUUAAUAAUCUAAUUCAUUGUUUCAUUGUACGUUGACAUGAUUCCCAAUGAUUUGAUCCCGCUUGUAAGUGCAUACAAUGACAUCAACCAGCCAAUAAGAACUACCUCGUAGGUUUAGUUGCUCAUUAUUAUACAAUUACGACAUGGCAGUUUUAGUCAUUCAUUACCAUUUUUUGUUUAAAACUUGACAUUUAAAAAUGGCCUUUUAAAUUUGUGUCCCUAACUUGAAUCCAUAAUUCAGAUUUGCCCUAAUUUCAAAGCAUAUGCUCAAAUUUACACCUCUGCCGUUAUGUGUCCUUACAAAAAUAUCCUUCUGUACCAUAUUUUUAAUUGACAAAUUAUAGAGACUAUUUUGUCAUAUGGUAUUAUUAAAGAAGUUUUUUUUCUGUGGGUCAACGCACCAUAGUUUUGAACCUUACGUAGUGACGGAGCCAGUAUUUGGAUGUGGCCGUGGAUAGGGGGGCCAAAUACUUACAUACUAUGACAUAUCAAUCAAAUAUACACUAGGUACUUCAGAUUUUAUCGACCGUUAGGGGGAGCCAGGCCCCUGCUCGCCCCCUUGUCUCCGCCCCUGACCUUACGCGUAGAUAUGGAUAUACUUUUAUCUAACGAACGAUUAAGAAAGUGUUAAAGUAUUCCGGCCUCUGGUGACAAACACUUCGAACCUACACAUGACGGCUUUAUGAGUCUCUAGUGAUAAACACCUCAAACCUACACAUGACGACUUUAAUUAUGAGCCUUUGCUGACAAGCACCUCAAACAUGCACAUACGGCUUUACGAAUACAAAAAACUCAUGUUUUUUUAAUUAUUACAUGUUUUCCGACGAUAUACGAUCAAUGGGAGUAGGCAUUCUGGUCGACUAUGAUGACGCAUGUAGCAACUUCGACAAUUUUAAGAUAAUGUACCGGCUCAACCUAUCAAAGAUGCUCGCAAAGAUAGUAUGUGAGUGUGUACAUGUAAGUAUACGUGUGUAUAUACAAGUGUCUGCGCCUAUACUAUGUAUUGUGUUAAAUAACAAUACAUAAAGAUUGUUACGGUUUUCAAAAUAAAAGAAAAACACACGCUUCAAAACGUCAUUGUCUGUACUGUCUAUUAUGUUAAAUAACAAUACAUAAAGCUUGUUACGGUAUUCAAAAUAAAAAAGAACACUUGUUUCAAAACGGCCAAAUUUUUCAUUUUUAAACCCAUCCCUAUUUGUCAACCCAUCCAAUAAGCCGUAUCAAAAGAUUUAACGAGCGAGGUUAGAUGGCUUUGUCCUCACAUGCAUUCCGAAACAGAAUAGGGGCGGAAAAGGGAUCAAAAAAUGUACUUGUGGUGUGGUGUCAUUUCGGCGUUUUGCAAUGCUCCGAAGUACUUAGUACGCAUGCUAAAUGGUAAUCUUCGCAAACAAGAAAAAUAUUAGAUGAGUGAGGGCACUUGAACCAGAGAUGUACGAAAUUAAAACUACUCCCUUCGUUCCUAAAUAUAAGUCUUUCUAGAGGUUUCACUAACGGACAACAUACGGAUGCAUAUAGACAUACUUUAAAGUGUAGAAUCACUCAUUUUAAUUUGUAUGUAAAUCUCUAAUGAAAUUUCUUAGAAGACUUAUAUUUAGAAACAGAGGGAGUUGUUGUUAUUAACUAAAGAUCUCUGGAAAGAUACUAAGAUGGAGAAGUUGGCAACAUUAUUUCAUUUCAUACAUGAUCAGAUAACUAGUGCUUUGCUCGCAGUAAACAUCGCACUGGGCCAGAUCGCCCCAACAUUAUACUACUACUACGGGGCGGCGUACAGAGGUUGCUGCGCACUAGUUGAUCUACAACAUAAUUAGUGGUAGGAGGUCUUCUUGAGGUGCUCCGGCGCGUCCUGGAAGGAAUGCUUCCUGGCCAUGGAGAGGAUGGUCUUGUCGGCGACGAUGAAGUAGGCCAUCCCGGCGACGGUGGAGAUGAUGAGCGCCUGACCGGCGGGGUUCAGGUGCGCCUUGGCCCACGGAAGCAUCCUCACACUCGCCAGCUGCAGAAAAAGGCACGCAAGAAGAAGACGGUGAGAUGAUUAUUCGUUCGACGUCAAAAACUCAGUGGUGCAGGCUGAUAAACGUGUGCUUACGGUGGGCACUGCGGCGGCGACGGUGGCGACGGCCGCGGCCUUGGCUCCNNNNNNNNNNGUUUGGGAUCAACGUACGACUGUUAACCAAGUUCAGGUUUCAGCAGAAACAUAAGCCGCCGCAAUGAAUAGCAUUGCUGGGCUAAGGCUGGAAUCAGUCGUGGGCGCUUGGCGGCGGCGAGCCUCUGGUCGAGGUAGGGACGGGUCACCGUCGACAUGUUCACGGGCGGAGAGCUUGAUGUUGGCGACACGAGAUCGGAAGGAAGUGAACUAGUAGUGGCAGUAGCCCAGUAAUUCUGCGAGAUCGCCGACGGGCUAAGAUGAGUAGCAGUGUGAGCGAUAUGAGAUGAGAUGGGCAGAGCGAGAAUUUACAGGUUGCCGGGCAACCAGCGUGCGGCCGGGUUGACACUUGAUACGGUGGGAAGCAAGCCAGACCGUGUUUUUGAUACCGAGGGCCCGUUUGGUUUCAAAUAAGUCACCAACUUAUAAGUUGAAAAGUACAAAAAGUAGUUUAUUUUGCCAAACAGACCUAACUUAUAAAUCACCCCAACUUAUAAGUCAUAAGUUGCUUCACCCCCACUUAAACCUUAUAAGUCACCCACUUUUGCAUGGUCAGGUGACUUAUAAGUCAGAUGACAACCAAACAUGCGUGAUUUAUAAGUCACUGGUUUUAAGUCACCUGAUUUAAAAGUCACUGGCCCUGUUUGGUUUCAAUAAGUCAGGUGACUUAUAAGUCAGAUGACUCAUCUGACUUAUAAGGUCUGACUUAUAAGUGACCUUUAAGUCAGAUGACUCAUCUGACUUAUAAGUCACCUUUUCAUGCAAAAGUGGGUGACUUAUAAGUUUUAAGUUGGGGUGGAGCAACUUAUGACUUAUAAGUUGGGAUGACUUAUAAGUUGGGUCUGUUUGACAAAAUAAGUCACUUUUGCAUUUUUAAACUUAUAAGUUGGUAUUUGAAACCAAAUAAGGGCUAAGUCAUCUGAUUUAUUGAAAUCAAACAGGGCCCGAUACCGGCGGGCUGUGCGGAGGUUGAUAAAAUCCAUCAGGAUUGGCACGGAGCGUGUUCGUGUGUAGGAUAACAUAUAAGAGCAUGUGCGUGAGUGCAGUGUCACUCAGCGUGCACUCAAUUUUGUUGGCGAGUUGUCUGGGCGGGCGCUCCCAGUUUACGGCCAACCCGUCGGCGAUCCAAUUCUGCGAGCGGCUCGGUGCAGGGCAGAUCCUUUGAACAUUACCAUAUGCCGUAUAUCUAUGCGCGUAGAUAAAGUUGGUCACCCUUUUUGUCGGAGAUAAAGUCGAUCACCAGUUCAAAUAAUAUACUGCUCCCCCCCAUAAAAAAUAAGUGGAGCAUCGCGGUUUACAUCGAAUUGAUCGUAGGGAAUACUAGAAUCUUUAAUAAUCUACAACGGUGAAGACGCAUAGAAUUAACAGUUUUGCUGAAACUCAGCUAGCUGAGUUUUAAGUAUGGUCAUAGUCACUUUAUGUUUCUCUGGUUGUCUCGCUAGAUUCACCCUGUCUUUUGUUAAUUGCGGGAGCCAUGAUGGACGGCUCGUCUCGUAGGAGGAUCAGCCAUGUGCAUGAGUUUUCUCCAGGCCUUUUUGCUUAUUUAAACGAGCUGAGUUUUGUGAGUCUUUUCUUUAUUAACCGACGUAAAGAAAGAUGGGGUCUAAAGAUGCCACGCUGCUAGCUUUGUGCAUGUUUUGUCAUUUGUUCACUAUAGCUUCUAGGGGUAAUAAGUUCUUUCUUUUUUUCUUUUUCUUUUUUGCGGGUGAGGGCUAAGCUCAUUUUAAUUUCUUUUUCUUUUUAUCUUCUUCUCAUGAUGUAUCGUUGUAUUUUUUUUCUUCUGUUUUUCUUUCUUAUUUCACUAUAUAGAGUAGACAAUUGUUUCCCUAUUUUCUCUUUUUCUUGACUUUAGUAUAUUUACUUUGCUUUAGAAUAAAAUUCAUUUGUUACUGGAUAUUUCAAAUUGAUUGUUUAGGUUUUUAGUUUUGCAAAAAAUGUCUCUUAUUUUAUUUUUUUAAAAUACCCAUGUGAACACAAUAAUGAACUUGAGAUUGGAAAAAAGGGGCCGCAACUCUGCUCAGGAGGGGGAGUUGUCGGGGUCACUUGCAUGUUCACCACUAGACGUGCAACUGCAAAUGUUAUGACCUGAAUGCAACUGGAAGUUUCCAUGAGGGCCCGUAACUGCAUGUUUUUAAGACGGGGUCGCAACUGCACAUUUUCAGGAUGAGUUGCAACUGCAUGUUUUUAAGACGGGGUCGUAACUGCAUGUUUACAAGGUGGGCCGCAAUUGCAUGUGUUUUUUAAGAGGGGUCGCAACUGCAUGUUUUUAAGAUGAGUCGCAAUUGCAUGUUUUUAAGAUGGGUCCUAAUUGUAUACCCUCGAUGGGGGUUGUCGCAAUUGCACGCCUUCCAUGGGUUUGAUGUAAUUGCAUGCCUUCAACGGGGUUGCUGCAAUUGCAUGUAUUUUUGAUGGGGGUUGCAAUUACAUGCCUUCCAAGGUUUUGCCGCAUUUGCACGUCUUAUAGGGGUUGUCGCAAUUGCAUGCAUACGACGGAGCCAGUGCAAUUUUGUACCUUCGAUGGGGGGUUGUCGCAACUGGAUGCGUUCCACGUGGUUGUCAACUGCACACCUUCCACGAUUUUUGGUGUAAUUGCAUGCCUUCCACUAGGUUGCUGCAACUGCAUGCCUUCGAUGGGGUUGUUCCAACUGCAUCUGCUCCACGUGUUUUGUUCCAACUGUAUGUGCAAAUGCAUGCCUCCAAAGGAGUUUGUUGGAAUUGCAUGUCGUCGAGGCAUUUUGUUGCAACUGUAUGCCCGUAAGGGUUUUGGGCCAAGUAUAUGUCGAAAAUGGAGAAGUGCAAUAUAACAAACACCUUUGGUUAUAUAUAUGAUGUAAUGCGCUUUUUGUGCGAAUACUGGUGUUUUGAAUGUGUUUUGAAUAUGAUUUAUGCUAAUACCUUUAACGGGGUUGCUGCAAUUGCAUGCGUGCAACAGGGUCGCCGCAACUGCAUGCGUGCAACGGUGUCGCCGCAAUUCGCAUGCCUCCCAACUGAUGUUGUUUGUUGUUGAUGUUGAUGUGACCGCGUGCCUGCCGUAACUGCAUGCCCUCCCAUGUGUUUUUUGCCGCAAUUGCAUGCCUUCCAAUUGAUGUUGUUUGUUGUUCUUGAUGAUGUGACCGCGUGCCCGCUGUAACUGCAUGCCCUCCCAUGUGUUUUUUUCCGCAACUACAUGCCUUCNNNNNNNNNNGUCACUGCAACUGCAUGCCUGCAACGGGGUCGCCGCAACUGCAUGGCUUCGAUGGGGUUUGCUGCAAUUGCAUGCCUUCCAAUUGAUGUUGUUUGUUGUUGUUGUUGAUGUGACCGCGUGCCCGCCGUAACUACAUGUCCUCCCAUAUUUUUUUCCGCAACUACAUGCCUUCAACGGGGAUCGCCGCAAUUGCAUGUCUGCAACGGGGUCGCCGCAACUGCAUGUCUUCGAUGGGGUUUGCCGCAAUUGCAUGCCUUUCAAUGGAUGUUGUUUGUUGUUCUUGAUGAUGUGACCGCGUGCCUGCUGUAACUGUAUGCCCUCCCAUGUGUUUUUUUCCGCAACUACAUGCCUUCAGCGGGGGUCACCGCAAGUGCAUGCCUGCAACGGGGUCGCCGCAACUGCAUGGCUUCGAUGGGGUUUGCCGCAAUUGCAUGCCCUCCAAUUGAUGUUGUUUGUUGUUGUUGUUGAUGUGACCGCGUGCCCGCCGUAACUGCAUGCCCUCCCAUGUGUUUUUUUCCGCAACUACAUGCCUUCAACAGGGAUCGCCCCAAUUGCCUGUCUGCAACGGGGUCGCCGCAACUGCAUGGCUUCGAUGGGGUUUGCCGCAAUUGCACGCCUUCCAAUUGAUGUUGUUUGUUGUUGUUGAUGAUGUGACCGCGUGCCCGCCGUAACUGCAUGCCCUCCCAUGUGUUUUNNNNNNNNNNAUCAUCGCAAUUGCAUGUCUGCAAUUGGGUCGCCGCAACUGCAUGUCUUUGAUGGGGUUUACCGCAAUUGCAUGCCUUUCAAUGGGGUUUGCCGCAACUGCAUAGCUUCGAUGGGGUUUGCCGCAAAAAAACAUAAAGGGUUCAUGAGGUUUUUGCAUUUCUUAUUUUUUUCCCUAGCAUGCAGUCGGGUCAUAAGAACAAAUUGAGCAAAUAUGGAUAGCGAAUAAACCUUGCUUCAGAAAUAGAAAAACGAAAAAAUAGGAAGGCGGCAAGUGUUACCUUGGGUGUUGUAGUUAGUGAUACUUGACAGAUCAAUCUGGGUUGGUUCUUUUGAUUUUCUCAAUUUGUUCGUCUAUCUCAAUACGCAAGUACAAGUUUGAAGUCGGGUCGUAACUACAAGUUUCAUAGUCGGGUCACAACUCUGAAUUUUCAUAGUGGAGUCACAACAACAAACUCCAUCAUUUAGAAAGAUGAUGAUUUUUCAAUAAAAAAAAUAAAAAAACAUGAGACAAGACCGGGAUUGAUCCUGUGCGCCAGAGGCAUCAUGCUGGUGACUACUGCUGAACUAAAUCAAAACUAAAAAAAGCAAAAACACUCGUUUUUAGGACAGCAAAGAGAACACUCCAUAAAUGUGUUAUGGCAACUAAAAUUAUGUUGUACAUGCCAGCCGAGUAAGACGUAUAUACUUUUCUUAUGGGUUAGUAUGUUUGCUCUAGCCAUCGGCGACAAGAGUAGUAAAAAGGCCAAGCCUGAAAAAGCAAUACGGCAUGUGGAAAUCAUGGGGAGAAUAAAAAAAAGCCAACCAACAUAUAUGAUGAUGUCAUGUGAAUGAGACCAUAGAUAAAUCUUAGCUAGCUGAGUUCUAGGUGCUCCCUAGAAUUAACUAGCAGGUAGUGCGCGGCGGCACGCCGCGCCACAUGAAUUGAAAAAAUAUUUAGUUCUUUUACAUAAUAUUUAAUAAAUCGUCUUAAAAUUUGAUUCGUGGUAAAGUAGUCGAUAAAUGAAAAGGAUAUGUCUAGUUGGAUCUACAAAGUUCUUGUUCUUUCCUUGGACCUAGGAUAUUGAUCCUCUAGCUGAGUCGAUGUACUGGUUUUUUUUAGAAAAGGAGGAUGACCCCCGGCAUCUGCAUCUGGAAGAUGAAUGCGGUCAUUUUAUUGAUUAUUUUCGAGAACCUUACAAAACAGUACAACAAUAUGCCUGAAUCCGUCAUCUUUGCAACAUUUGUCGCUACUCCUAUCCAUAUGAUGAAGGGGUGCAAGCUGGACCAAAUACCCAUACCUCUCACCUAAGCCUAACUUCUAAAGCCGGAGACCCUGACCGGGCCACAUACCGGAUCCGGGGCACAAACCGGUCUGACACACUCACAUGUGUCAUCACCGCCAUCUUCCAUUGGUCCAUCUUCAUAUCAGAUUGAGGUACCAGCCUUGGCAGGUGUCUCCGCCAUCGACGCCACCAUGACGCCAAACGACAACCUCCACCUACGCGAGUCCAUCUCCAAGCAACGGACGGAGAUCCAUGCUAGGAUAGGGCCGCACCACCGCCGUUGCCCACCACCCACAAGCGCCACCCAGCCCCAAGAUUCCCAAAGAGGCGCCUUCAAGAAGGGAACGACGUUGUGAGCGCCGCCGCCGCCCAACAAAGUUAAGGCUUUCGCCCGGAAGACCUAGGGAAAGGGGAAGUGAGGGGAUCAGUCCAUACCGACGCCUCCAAGGAGGGGAACGGCCCCCUCAGGCGUCGCCGUCGACGCGGCCGGCCAUGGCCGACCAGGGAUUUCGCCCGAACUAGAUCCCCACCACCAGCAGCACCUCCUGUACAAAACCGACAAUCCAAGGAAGCGCGGCCUGACCAGGCUGGCCCGCACGCCGAGCAGGGGAGGAGGGGAGGCGCCAGAUCGCGCGCACCGACCACCGCAAAAGCUGCCGCCAGACGCCAACGACCACCGGGUCCCGUCGCCUGCGCGGCCGAGACGCCGGAUCCACCUCCCGCACGGCUGCUAGCCUGUCGUGCCUCGCCAAUGUAGCCGUCGCUCCAGAUCCGGGACUCCGCAUGCAGAGGCAGGGCAGCCUAGGCCCCGCCGCCACCAUCCUUGGCGUCCCGAGCUUGCCCGGCGGCUGCCUCAGGCGGCGGCGAGGAAGGGAGGGGGAGGGGGAGGCGGCUNNNNNNNNNNNNNNNNNNNNNNNNNNNNNNNNNNNNNNNNNNNNNNNNNNNNNNNNNNNNNNNNNNNNNNNNNNNNNNNNNNNNNNNNNNNNNNNNNNNNUUACAUAAAAGGUUUAAUACAUUAUUACAUUAUUGCACCAAUAUUCCUAUCUAUUAUUUCUGUUUUCUUCUGGGUCGUAGCCAUGGAGAAUCUUCAUCAUUCAGUAGGAUGCUUGGGUCAGUUUUCACUUUGAAGGGCGGAAUUUCAUGAAACUUAUUAUAAUCUUCUGACAUGUCUGUCUUGUCAUCUACUCCCACGAUGUUUCUUUUCCCUGAAAGAACUAUGUGGCGUUUUGGCUCAUCGGAUGAUAUCUUCUUUUGCUGAUUUCUUUUUCUCGUUAAUGUAGACAUGUCUUUCACAUAGAAAACCUGAGCGACAUCAUUGGCUAGGAUAAAUGGUUCGUCCAUGUAUGCAAGAUUGUUAAGAUCCACUGUUGUCAUGCCGUACUUUUGGUCUACAACUAACCCGCCUCCUGUCAGCUUCACCCAUUUGCACCGAAAUAAAGGGAUCAUAAAAGUAGGUCCAUAGUCAAGUUCCCAUAUCUCCUCUAUGUACCCGUAAUAUGUUUCCAAACAGUGCCCAUUCUCGUCUGUUGCAUCAAAGCGGACACCACUAUUUUGGUUGGUGCUCUUUUUAUCUUGGGCAACCGNNNNNNNNNNNNNNNNNNNNNNNNNNNNNNNNNNNNNNNNNNNNNNNNNNNNNNNNNNNNNNNNNNNNNNNNNNNNNNNNNNNNNNNNNNNNNNNNNNNNUUGUAAUGGAGCUUCGCCGGAGCAUCGGUGCUGUGUUGGAGCUCCACCGGCUGCAAUGGAGUUUUUCGAAGUUGCAAUGGAGCUCGUCGGACGCUGUCGGUGCUGCAUUGGAGCACCAUGCGGCCUCUGUUCCAUGUCGGGAAUUUAAUCUGACGAUGAGGGCUCGUUCAAUCGGACGGCUACCUAGGAGGAUUACGACUGGUACAAAUAGCAGCCGCCUUUGGAAAAUGGUCACAACUCGUGUCCGAAAAAAUAUUACUUAAAGCAUCUACAAAGGCAACUUGUAAAUUCGUUCUAUCAAAUGUAUGCAGACACGCCUAAACUUAGAUGUACUGUUCCUUCAUUUUAAAAUAUGUCUUUUUAAAAGAUUUCAAUGAAAACUACAUGUGGAUGUAGAUAGUAGAGUGUAGAUUUAUUUAUUUUGCUUCACAUGUAAUUUAUAUUAAAAUCUGUAAAAAAGACUUAUAGUAUUUAGGAACGAAGAAAGUAAUCGGUUAGCCCGACAUAAAGUUGUUAAUAAUAUACUCCCUUCGUCUAAAAAAUAAGUGACUCAACUUUACACUAACUUUAGUAUAUAAAUUAAAUUAUUUUUGAGUCAUUUGUUUUAAAACGAAAGGAGUAAUACUCAUCUACUCUCUCCGUAAACUAAUAUAAGAGUGUUUAGAUUACUAUUUUAAUUAUCUAAAUACUCUUAUACUUCAUCCGUCUUAAAAUUCUUGUCUUAGCUUUUAUCUAGAAAUGAAUGUAUCUAANNNNNNNNNNNNNNNNNNNNNNNNNNNNNNNNNNNNNNNNNNNNNNNNNNNNNNNNNNNNNNNNNNNNNNNNNNNNNNNNNNNNNNNNNNNNNNNNNNNNNNNNNNNNNNNNNNNNNNNNNNNNNNNNNNNNNNNNNNNNNNNNNNNNNNNNNNNNNNNNNNNNNNNNNNNNNNNNNNNNNNNNNNNNNNNNNNNNNNNNNNNNNNNNNNNNNNNNNNNNNNNNNNNUAUAUCUUGUAAGAAAUUAGUAUAUCUUUGGUGAGGAAAUUGGAACACAAGGUUGCAUGCAACGUGCCUGGCUGGCUGGACGGGAGAAGACAGAAGAGCUCUGUAACAAGAGAAGAAAGAAGAGAAGCAAGGAAGGUGGCUCUUGUUACCGGCGAUCAGUGGCCGGUCCAACUCCAUGGCCGGAGCUUCCGCCGGCGGCUUCGUCGGCCUCGGACUCCACCCACCACCGGUGCCUGUGCCGGUGCGACCGCGCGUCCGAGAGAGAGAGAGAGANNNNNNNNNNNNNNNNNNNNNNNNNNNNNNNNNNNNNNNNNNNNNNNNNNNNNNNNNNNNNNNNNNNNNNNNNNNNNNNNNNNNNNNNNNNNNNNNNNNNNNNNNNNNNNNAGAGAGAGAGAGAGAGGGACCGUGCUUAUAUAUAUGUAUGUAGGAGAUGAAGCGAGACUCAGUCAAGCAGUCUCUCCCCUCGAUGGGACUGCUACAGAUCGAAACCGCGUGCGGUGGGCAGGUGGAAGGGGGAGCUGACCGCAGUCCGCAGGUCAUCGCCUGACCACUGUUUUGUACCACCACUAACAUAACACUGUAAACCAGCGUUGCUCUCUCGGCUUUAUUGCACAACAGCAAGUUGCCAUCGCGUCAUCUAAGUGAGCUCGACCAAGCCGGCGUCGUGGCAGAAUCCGGUGCUCGCUUGACCGGACCCGCUCCCCGCGCGCGCGUGCCUUUCCUCCCAGUAGCUCGUAUUUGACCCGCUCCUAAUGAUCGUUUCUCUCUCUCUCUCNNNNNNNNNNNNNNNNNNNNNNNNNNNNNNNNNNNNNNNNNNNNNNNNNNNNNNNNNNNNNNNNNNNNNNNNNNNNNNNNNNNNNNNNNNNNNNNNNNNNNNNNNNNNNNNNNNUCUCUCUCUCUCUCCCUUUUGAUUUCUUUUUUCUGCGGUAGCAUGCAUGACAAUCCGUCCUGCCGUAGGCAGAAUAUAUUCGUGGACGCACUCCACGCACGUGGCAAAUACUACUCCCUUCGUUCUUAAAUAUAAAACAUUUUAAAAAUCUCACUAUAAACUACAUGCAUACGGAGUAAAAUGAACGAUAUAUAUCCGUUUGCAGUUUCUAAUGAAAUUUCUAAAAGGUAUUAAUAUUUAGGAACGGAGGGANNNNNNNNNNNNNNNNNNNNNNNNNNNNNNNNNNNNNNNNNNNNNNNNNNNNNNNNNNNNNNNNNNNNNNNNNNNNNNNNNNNNNNNNNNNNNNNNNNNNAGGUGCUACCUUCCGGGCGCGCAUCUUGGUGAAGAACUAGGUUCCCGUCGUCGACCGAGAACUUCUUUGGUGGCGGUCACAUGGACGACUUUAGGUGCGGAGGCAGCCGGCCCCCGAGGAGGAGGUACAUCGCCGUGUCAGGGAGGAGGACGAACACGUCCAUCGCUACAUUGAGGCGUUUGGCGUCAGGUUCUCUGAUACCUGGCAGGUUCUUCAGGGAUCUCACCCGAGCUAUGAUCCUCUGAUGGUUCCUUCUCUUUGGGUGUCCAUCGUCCGCGCCUCAGUACAUCGAUAGCUCUUUGGGUGGUCUGUUUAAUAAUAUUCGAGAUAUGUAUUAGUGAUAAUACUCGAGAUGUAUUCGACAAAAUAUUCUGUGAUGCAUUAAGUGGAUUAUUUGAUGUAUUACUGAUAUUAUAUAUGAUGAUCUUGCUAGCUAAAGUGAAUACUAGAUUGUUUUAUCUUUCUUCUUGAUUAGUUAAGCUAUGGACGGUAGAGACAGAGACCAUGAUCAAGAGUAUGUCUUGUUCGACAUGAUAUGCUCCGGAAACAAAAAGAAUUAAGAAGCAGAUGAUGGCUCACAAUAUCUUAACCUAUCCAGUGAGGGAAUAGAGGAAGAACAACCAAGAGACGAAGGGGAACCUGACAAUGUAUUAAUUGAUUUACACACACACACACACNUAUAUAUAUAUAUAUUAACGAAUCUCUUCUUUUAGCCCUCCGGAUCGAGCAAACCUUCUACAAGAAGGGCAAUACGAGGCCCGGCCAAAAAGUUGCCCGAGGGCACAAGGUACAACAUCGACGAGAUAACAUUAGGGGGUGAACCAAAUGCCCCCAAAAAGAAUAUGGACAAAUUUGUUCGUCAAUGCAGAGUUAUUGUUAGGGACCAAAUCCCGAUCUCCAUUCAACCAACCGGUCUUGAGAUUAAGGUAGUCAGUCUAAACACCUCAUUAUCGACGGAAACGAAUAUUCUGUUGGAUCUGUAUGCAAGAAGGAAACACAGUUGGAUUGGGAGGCAGGGAAAACAACAUCUUCUGUAGUACAUAGAUUUAUUUCAUAGACACCUUUGCAUCGGAUCGGUAGGAGAUUGACGGUAGUGCAGAGUAGGAGAUGGGGAUUACCUUCUCCCUGGCUCGAAGAGCUCGCCCCAGAGGCCAUGGUAGUGGGGCGUCGGUGAUGACGACUGAGAACGAUGUGGUGGCGGUGGUGCUUCCCGUGAGCACUACGCUAGUCCUAGUUUGGAAGGGUUUGUCGGUGGGGUGUGUGGUGGCGGCGAAUCUCAUAGUCCGUGCCCCAGCCCCCCACCUCUGUUAAUAUAGCGCGGAUCACAGGGGCCCACCAACCAUAAUGGGUGUGGCGCCCCCGAUCAGGGCNNNNNNNNNNNNNNNNNNNNNNNNNNNNNNNNNNNNNNNNNNNNNNNNNNNNNNNNNNNNNNNNNNNNNNNNNNNNNNNNNNNNNNNNNNNNNNNNNNNNGUGCGCGUAGGAAAAAUUUUGUUUCCCAUGCGACGUUCCCCAACAGAAAUAAGUACCAGUACCUGAGAUUUUGAUGGUCUCUAGGAAUGUGAAAAUUAGAUACUUGUGACUGCUAUAAAGUCUAUGUUAGNNNNNNNNNNNNNNNNNNNNNNNNNNNNNNNNNNNNNNNNNNNNNNNNNNNNNNNNNNNNNNNNNNNNNNNNNNNNNNNNNNNNNNNNNNNNNNNNNNNNNNNNNNNNNNNNNNNNNNNNNNNNNNNNNNNNNNNNNNNNNNNNNNNNNCUAACAUAGACUUUAUGAAGGGUCUACAAGGCAAAUAUGACUCCAGAGGAAAUAUGUAAAUGUGUAAAACAUGACUUAAAUCGAAAUAUUUUGUGCAAAGAAAAUGAGAGGACAAUUGCAUUCUUGCAAAGUUAUAGAAUGGGAAAUUUGUUUCCCAAUUCCUAUGCAUGUGGAUGAUGUCCUACUUGCUAGUGGUGAUGUCAAUCUACUGCAGGAGGAGAAAAGAAGUUCUUGUCCUCAAAGUUCAAAAGAAUAAAAGGGGGUAUUAGGAAUGUUGCAUGGACAUGCUAAGAAAGAUCUCUAAAGUAUGCAUACGACAAAACCUACGCAUGUUCUUAUAGUCAAGGGUAAUGGAAGUGGAAACUAUGGUGUUCCAAAAGUUAAUAAGAAAAGAUUGUAAACGGAUAUGGUACCAUAUGCUUCAGUUGUUGGAAGCUCAAGAUAUUACCCUGACACUGUUCACGUAUAUAUCCGGGUUGUUUUGGCAAUGUCCAGUCCAUAGAUAAAUCAAUGGAAUGGAGUCAAAGAUAUCGGCCUCAUGCUAAAAGAAAUAAGUGCUCUCAAAAGAUUGUGAGUACAAAGGCAGGACUUGUGAAAUGAAUAGCGAAAUCAACAAUUGUCGCUAACUUUCAUACUCGGAGUUUUGUGUGGAAAAUCUCCAAAUGAGUGAAACGAUUGUCAUCAAUGUGAUGCAAUGAUAUGUUAUAACUUUAUAUGAGGCUGAGGGAUAGGCGAAAUGGUUAAUGGCUACAUAUACCCGGAAUUGAUAAUGGUUGACAACAACGAUAACUAUUUUAAAUUCUUUCGCUCCUGUCACAACGAGUCAAGUGUUGAUGCCAAACACACUGACAAAGAGUUAUGUGUUGUGAAGGAGAAAGUCCAGAAUUAUGAAAAAAUGCUUGAAGCAUAAAAGCAACAAACAAGUGUUUGCAGAUCUGCUUAUCAAAGGCUUACCGCCCCGUGUGUUCGGAGAACACACAGUCGACAUGGGUUUUAUGGUAUAGUCUAAUAUUUUCCGGACAAUAAAGGGCCCAAGGUUAAAGAAUCUGUCUCAAAAUAGAGAGGUACAUUAUGGAUGUCUGAUUCCAUCGGCAAUUGAGCCGUGACGAUGAAACAUGCCCUAUGUAUUGAUCUGUUACGAAACGGGUAAAAGUAUAUGAUGACAUCAAGGGGGAGAAUGUUAGAUUGAUCUCUUUCCUAAUGGGCCCAACGGCCCAUUGGACCUUGACUCACGCCCUGAUCAGGGGCGUCCAGCCCAAGCAAGGCUGGUGGGCCCUGUCGCGCAGUGUUGUAUAUAGAGGAGGUGGGGACCAUGGCACAGACUACAAGGUUCGCCGCCGCCACUGGUUCCCCACUCCUAACCCUAAUCCGAUCUAGAGGGAUGCACUAAAGCGAUGGGAAGUCCACCGCCGCCGCUACCGCAUCUCUCUCUGGUUCCCCACCGUCGCCACUACGUCACGACAGUCACCGAGGGAACUCAUCGAGCACGGGAUAAGGUAACAUACCACUACUCUCAUCGAACACAUCUAGACUUGUCGAUCCACGGGAUCUAUCAAACCGUGCAUACCCUUGAGCAUUAGCCAAGUUUAUAUCUACUUAAUUAUUGUGACAAAUAGAAGUGGAUAUUCAUUUGUGUCAGAUGGGGAGAAAAUAUAAAUAAUCUUUGUGUUCUUUUUCCUUUUUAGAAACAGGCAGGUAGUUAGUAUCUUGCCCGGAUACUAUGUAUACAGCCAGUAAAGAUCAACCAUAUAAUUUUCCUAUGUAUGGACUGAUACAAAAAUUAUUAAAAAAUAAGGUCUAGAUUUUAAACCCUAAACCGGUACAAUUAAUAGCACAGAUCCUUUAUCAUAUACUCCCUCUUUUCGGAAUUACUUGUCACACAAAUGUAUAAGAAUAGAUGUAUCUAAAACUAAAAUAUAUCUAGAUACAACCAUUUAUGUGACAAGUACUUCCGAAUGGAGGGAGUAUUGUAAGAAUCACAAUAAUAUAGAUAAUUUAACACCUUAGUCUUGUAUCACAGAUUCGACAGCAAAAGAAUUGUCAUUUACUAAAUGAAAAGCCUAACUGCAGUUAGCAGUAAGAGUGGGCAUCUAAACAAUUAUUAUACACACCUCUAACCUGAGAGUGCUUGGUUCACAGAAAGCCUUUUAUGUGUAUGCAAAUGUAAAUUUCUCCCAGGAAAACAUCAUUUGAGAGCAUAUCAAAGCAUACAUAUUAUGUACUAUCUGCAUAAGUGCAUAACCUGAUUUUGUUUGAAGAAAAUGAAAACCAUGAAUGACAAAUUGAAAAGCUCACGGUACCUAAGAAAUUAAUGAACAGGAAUUUGAUUUCCCCUCACACAUUAACACAAGCAUGGUACCAGCAGGUUAGAUCGAGGCACAAACGUCAACCAGGGAAGCACGUGAAAUAAAAGAGGAAGGGCACUACAAGAGAAAAAGAGUUAUAUCUAACGGGCGGACAGCCGGAGCUUCUUUGUAGCUCCCGUGGCCACAAUCUCGCAGCGGAGGCGCGCAACAUGUUGAUCCCGUGGCGGACCACGAGUGCACGGUAGCAGCAGGCCGCAACAGCUCCACGGCGAUCGAGCGCAUCCUGCAUUGAUGCUAGGGACGUCGUAUGCACGCGCGUUGCCGGUCACCAAAAAGGCGACGUUGGGCGGAAGCAAGGAGUGGCGGAGAGGAGAUGGGGAGAGGACGGUCAGGGGCGCCGCGCCCGUAGGUGAGGUGAGGUGAGGUGAGAGCCCGGCUGUGGAGCUCUUUACGAGUGACAUAUUGAUCUUUGAAUUUGGCAUAAUUUUUUAUGAGCACCCAACAAUGCGUGAGGAUGAGUGGCUUGUUCUUAUGUCGUGCCUUGAAAUCUUCAAAAGAUUAAAAUGCCUACACAACAUGAAUGGACACAAAAUGCCUACACAAUAAAAAGCAUGCCAACAUGAAUGGACACAAAAUNNNNNNNNNNNNNNNNNNNNNNNNNNNNNNNNNNNNNNNNNNNNNNNNNNNNNNNNNNNNNNNNNNNNNNNNNNNNNNNNNNNNNNNNNNNNNNNNNNNNNNNNNNNNNUGAAUGGACACAAAAUAAAAAUGUGAGAGGUACAUACCAAGUCACCAACGCCUAGGCCACUCAUGGGACCGGCUUGGACGCUCUCAAGCGCGGCACAAUACUUGUUGCAUCCUUGUUGAAUGAAUCCCCAUCACUUUUGGAUUAAGUUGAUGUUGCGAGUACUCACAAUUUGGUAGGGACAAACUUCCUUCGCUCAUGGAAGGUACCCCUUGUCCAAAAGAUGGAUGCCUUUUGCUCGGCACCUUUUAUUGGAUCUUCCCCUAUCUCAAUCCAACUCUCGCAAAUCAAUUUAUCCUUAUUUUGGGUGUAUGACCCCACGCAAAUGAUUUGCCUCCUCUUUUGUGCCUCGGCCAUUUGAGUGAGCUCAUCGAUAAACACCAAUGCCUCUUGCAAAAUGUGGACCUUGUCUUCCUCAUUUUCACAAUAUAACUCAUCAUCAAUAUGCCAUGAGUUGACAUGGUUGUCCUUCUCUUCAUCAUGGCCGACGAAUUUAGUGUCCUCAUAGUGGUCGCGGUCGUCCUGGCUCUACCUCUCGUUGGGACCGACAGCCUGGCCUUGACCCUCGUAGUGAAAGGCCUAACCACGGCCCUCGUAGAUGACGCUCUCNNNNNNNNNNNNNNNNNNNNNNNNNNNNNNNNNNNNNNNNNNNNNNNNNNNNNNNNNNNNNNNNNNNNNNNNNNNNNNNNNNNNNNNNNNNNNNNNNNNNNNNNNNNNNNNNNNNNNNNNNNNNNNNNNCGAGCAAUCACGAUAGUCGGUUGUGGGCGUCGGAAGUGGUAUUGUGUCGAACAACUUACGGGCGUCGGAUAUGGUUGCCAUCGGGAAUGACCGGGGCUGCUUACUGUGUGUCCCGCCAGUCGUCUGGCCAGCGCCACUUUACAUCUGUACCUCGGCAUCAUGUUUUAGGUCGAUGACCCCCGCGGACGUGGCGGGAGCAACCACGUUGUACUCCGGCGGCGUGGAGAACCAUGUCUGCCCAUGGCUGUCCGAAGGACGGCACCCUGGCGUCUCGGGUGUGGUGGAUCUGUACUGAGGAGGACGAGCGGCCGACGGUCCCAUGCUCGCCGUGGCCAUGGCAGCGAUCGAGAGGAUGACUGACUGUAGUCCUCCCAACCCUAACAUGAGGAGGGUGUGCCCGUUGGAGAUGAUGGAUUCCUUGUUGUCAAUGUCGGCAAGAUGUUGCGCUUGACGCGGGGCGGCGGCCUCGACGACGUAGGCCGCAACCGCCAUCAUCUCUCCCACCUUUAAAUGCCAGUCCCUCCUCUUCGCCAAGUCGGCAUUGAGUUUGGCGAUGAUCGCCAACGUGAGCUCGGAGCGAGGCUUCCUGGGACCCUUGGGACCCUUUUCUUCGCCGUGAGGGGCGCGGCUGCUACCGCAUCGCCAGGGUUUAUUGCGUCGCCGUCCAUGAAGGAGGGAGGGGAAGGGACGCGCGAGAGAGUUUGAGCGAUAUGGAGAGAGAGUGGGAGGGGUGUGUCCCGGAUUGGCGUGCCAAAGGAGGACAAUGGCGCGCAUCAUGCCCGUCGGCGCGCUGUCUGUUUGACUGCAAACGCAACCCAAACUUGAACUCGAAAUGGGUUGAAAACUCCCGUGCGUUGGGCCGUGGUUUAUGCCUGUUUACAUCUAAACGAAUGCAGGCGGACGAGUUAACGUCGUGCCUUGUGGUUGCCUUAGAGCAACUCCAACCGGCCGACCCAAACGGACAGCGAUUUUGUUCGCUUUUCGUCCGUUUGGGUCAUCCAUCGGCUCCGUGUUCACCCGGGUUACGAUUUGAUUUGAGUCGGUAGCGUGUCCAAUGCGCCAACCCAUAUUUGUCCGUCUGGCCGGCUAGCGCCGGUUUUUGAACAAAUACGGAUAUUUUAUAUAUUUUGCAACAGCAAAUGAUAUAGCAUAGUUUCACAAUCAAAAAUAAAAUAUAGAAAAGUUUUUCAAACCCAAUAAAAGUUUAGAUUGUCUACAAAAUACAGCUAGUCAUUGCCAACAUCAUACCACAUAUGCUCAACCAAAUUAUCUUGCAACUGAAUAUGAGUUUCCAAAUUACGCAUUGCGUGAGGAAAUGGGAUGAACUGUGCAAACGAUGUCGCUUCUCCGCCAUGCUGAGGCACCACAAUGGGCGGCGGCGACGGCGAGGGGACUAGGACCGAGGCGAGGCGAGGGCUAGAUGCGGGUGGAAAACGACCAAUGUGCCACCGACUCGCGGGCCAGGGAAUGGUCGUAGUGUGCGUCGUCCGUGUCUGCUUUGUGUCCGCACCGAUUCAAAUCAGGCUCAAAAUUGGGUCGAAAAUGGAUCGGCAAGCGGAAAAAUGUGAACACGCGUCCGUUUAUGUCAGGGCGUUAGACCGUCUUUUAUAUCCGUGUGUAUCUAAAUGUACGGCGACGCAGGAAAUGUGUCGCUCUGUUGGAGUUGCUGUUAAAGAAAAACGGAGUAGGAGUGCAAUGACUUUCUUUUCUGAGCGAAGACAAGAUGUGUGAUAGUACAGUAAUGCUAGGCCUACGUAGCUAUAAUACAUAGACUAACCUAAUAGUUUAGGUGGCGUUUUUUAAUUUGAGAAAAUUAGGGAAGGGGCCCACCCAGUUGAAAUCAGGGCUGAAAGGAUUAGUAGUUAGUUAAGUUACGUAGUCUUAUGUAAAUUUUUAUGUAAGCGUAGCAUUUUUGCACGUGAAGCAGAGAGUUGUACAAAUGUUACUAGUAGCAGUUGUUUAUUCAAAAAUGCUAGACUUACGAAUUGUUUUACGUAAAGUUACGAACCUCUGGCAAGAUAAUAAGAUAAUACUCCUGAAGAUAAUACACGGCUACAUAAAUUAUUACUGCACAUCAUCAUCAGAUAAGUGCAUGAAGAAGAAGGAAGAAAACAAAAGAAAAAGUACAUGAAGGAGGAGAAGCGCACUACAUCAUUCGGCACUGCCCCUGUCACAGUGUCACUGAACACUAUACAGUCUAUCAUCAUUCAUUCACACAUUCAUCAGACACGUACGGCCGUCGAUCAGUUUAUUGCGCCCGCCCUAGCUAAUCACGGCGUCUAAUUAGUGGAAGGAGGUGUUCUUGAGGUGCUCCGGCGCGUCCUGGAAGGAGUGCUUUCUGGCCAGGGAGAGGAUGGUCUUGUCGGCGACGAUGAAGUAGGCCAUCCCCGCGACGGUGGAGAUGAUGAGCGCCUGCCCGGUCGGGUUCAGGUAUGCCUUGGCCCACGGCAGCAUCCUCACGCUCGCCAGCUGAAAUCAUGGAUAGCAGAUUCAUGAGACAUGCGAUCAACUAUGGAGCGCGCGAUCUCCUCCAACAACCAAAUGGCUAGCUUUCUGGAUACUUACUGUGGGCACUGCGGCUGCGACGGUGGCGACGGCCGCGGCCUUGGCUCCGGCCAUGGCAGCCUCUGCAGCACACACAUGUAACAUGUUAAUCGCAAUCAAGUUCCGACAGACACAGACAGCACAUAAAUAAGCCGCAAUGCAUAACGGAACCGGCCGUCGCUCGUUGGUUACCUACCUCUGGAGCAGCGCUUAGCUGCGGCGAGCCUCUGGUCGAGGUAGGCGCGGGUGACCGUCGACAUCUUCCUUCGC
rnacentral:lncRNA from 1 species